GGCGGCGGCGGCGGCGACGUGGAGGACUAGGACGUCGAAAGCGGGGCGCAGGAUCAAGGUGUGGCUGCCGCCUGCCGGAGGGUGAGCCGCUGAUGCCGAUCGAGGCGACGGCGGCGGGCGGAGGCAGGAGCGCGAAAGGAAAGCUCAUCCGGCGCGAAGCAACGGGAUGCGUAUAUAAUGAAGUAAAUUUGGAAAUUGAUCGCCAAUUCAGGAGACAUCAGUUCCAAUUCCAAAUCCGCAGAUUUGUUUAAGCGGCAAUAGAAUCGGCAAGAGAGUAGCAACGAGUUUGCAAGCACCUCCGCUGUCCGAAGGCACUCUCCAACGAAUUAACGGCAUAUUUUUUUUACUAUAAUAAACCUUUUUAGAAGCUUAUAAUUUUUUUGUGGUUUAAAAAAACUUAGCAGGUAUUUAUCAAAAUUUCCAACUAAAAAAAUGAUGAAACUACCUUGAAAAUAAAUUCUAACCCAGGGAUGGAGGUAAUUUAAAUGGUUUUGAGAGUUGAUUGGUAAUAUGUGUAGUUUCAGAGCUCGGGGAGGAAAAUUCAGUUGAAGGAGAUAUAAGAGAUAUUCUCACUCCCAUAAAAGGUUUCACUUUUUCGUAUCCCCAUUUUGGAUUUGUCCAUAUAUUCUGUUGAGUACUCUCUCUGUUCAGUUUACUAUAUUUGUAGAAAAUACGUGCAAUAUUUAUAUCUCUAAAUAAAUUUAUUAUAAAACUAAAUUCAAAGAUCUUUUCAAUGAUACUAAUUAUGUACCAUAAAUAUUAAUAUUUUUAAUAUAUAUUUAGUUAAAGUUAUUUUUUGAAAAUCAUAAACGACAAUUAUUUUGGGAUAGAGAAAGUACACGGACAAGCCAUAUCUCACUCCAUAUGUCAUACUGGCUUAUACUUUUUUUGGUAUUCAAAUUAUUUGUAGCAGCAUUAUUUUUAGCUAGCUAGUUUUCUAAUGAGCCAAAACAUACUACUUUAGAAAGUUAAAAUAAUCUAUGAUGUUUUUUUAGAUUUUGUGCAUGUGCAUUAGGCUAGUCUUAAUGCAUGUUUCAUGAGAGUGUCAUGCACAUUAAGUAGGAUGUCAUAUAAGCAAAAUUGCUGACUUGGCAGAGUCAUUAAGGCCCUAUUUAGAUGCAGCCAAAGAGCCAAAAACUUUUGGAGAAAUAAGCACUUUUUGGAAGAAUGAAUCUAAACAGGGGCUUAUAAAACUUAGUUGUAAAGAUUUGGAAUUUGGGACCUUGGAGCUCCAAAACUGUGUAAACUUGCUUAGGGAUCCGUGUCUUGUGUGUUGUAGACCAAAAAAUUUGGGAAAUAUCUAAACACCUAUUUGAAUGUAAAGUUUUUUUUUAUAAAGUUUACAGCCAAAAGUUUUGGGAUGUAAAGAUUUAGGAUCUAAACAGUUUCUAAAUGAAGGAGUUUCGUACCCAUGAAACUCAUGCGGCUCGUUAGUAGAGCAAAAGUUAGUAGAGCAAAAGCUAUUGUGCCCAAAAAAUUGCAUGGCUUUCUUCAAAAGUUAGUAGAGCAAAAGCUUGAUUAAAAACUAUAAGAUGCACUGCUAUUGCUAGCAAUACCUCAGGAAGAUGAGCCGACAGAAACCUGUUAGGAUUUUCGAAUUAAAACCAGGACACAAAGCUUGGAGCCUGAUAACCGGUUAGGUUCGAAUGUUUGCUCUGCUAGUGUUUCAUGAGAUGACUUUGCAUAUGCUGCAUCUUUAGCUGAAUACACACAUAUUUUUUUUUUCUGAUGAAAAAAUCUUAUUUGCUUCAAAAUAACAAUAGCAUAGUAAAUUUUGCCUAGCCAUUACUGAGAAUCACAGGAAAUGCUAUUUAAAGUCUUGUCCAAACAAAACAAAGUACGCCUCACAUUCUACAAGGAAAAAAAAAAUGGGACAAGCAGUUUAUACAGUAAGUUAAAUUUCAGUCAUGCAAUGUUACAGAACAAGCAAUCCAAUUUAUGGAUAAUCAAACUAAAGAACAUAGCUGCACAUUCUGCAAUCUACAAGAAAAAAAUGGGACAUGAAAACAUCACCACGUCCAUCCUGACGAUCUUGAAUCUGCUGCCAGAUUGAUGUCCAAAUUCAAAUCUCCCAGCUUGAUGUCGCAGUCCCACCGCAGUGGUCUCGUAUGUCUCUGCCCAAAUCCAAACCCAUCAGCUGGAUGCAAGCCAUGACAUGGAUGCAGCCAAGGACCUCACCAGCCGUGGCGGCGCCAUGUCUUCUCACUUGGGUCGGGCGACUGCGAGCGUGGGGCGGGGCGGGGCGAACGCGACCGGGCGUCGAUGGCCACGACUGGAGCGUGAGGACACGACACGACGGAGGGAGGGGAAGUUGAAGCGGCGAGGUGGGAGUCGCAUGUCUUUUGGAGGGAGAAGCAGGUAUCGAACCCUGGCCGCUGGCGCUGGCGCUGAAAAAACAAAAGAACCACCGCACCGCUACUCGGUGCUCACCAGACACAAAACAAAAGCAUGUCCCAGUGCAUUUUCUAUUUCACAGCAACAGCAGGUUACUGAAAAACCCUACACAAGCCAGCGCCGACGGGUCCCUUCAGCCCACCACACGCGUUAGAGAGCAUUACAUAUCUCACACACCACGCAUGCAAACAUCACACAACCAAAAACUGUGUCUGUUACGCUUACUGAGAUGGUAAGCCUGAAACUAAUCCUCUUCUUCAACACUACAUUCCGGUGCCGCAUCCGAGCUAUUGGGUGCUAUUUCUGACGUGAACAAGGUUCCUCAGCUCUUCAAAUGCAUCCAUGGUCUCCGGGUCGAAACCUCCAGCAAACUGCAAAAAUGAGGCCGGUUUUAAAAUUUUAAGAACACUUGCAGAUUUAAAUACUGGAGAGCAUGCAAACUUAAUGAGACAUUAGGUUCCUGUAUGUGUCAGAGGGAAAAACAAUCUGUUUAAUCACAUAUGGAACUGGCAAUGAUGGACAUGUGAAAUGCUUGUGUGUGUGAGAUAUUGUUGGCAGUAAGGGAUGCGCAACGUGCGUGAGAGUUUGCCUUGUCUUAAGUUACAGCUAUAAUGUGUUACCUGAUGCAUCCUGAAGGCAAAUCUCACAGCCUGAAGCAGCAUGUACUCCAGAGCUGGAUCCUUAUUCAGAGGGCCCAUGUAUUGAAGCUCCAUUGCAACCCUUUUCAUGUACAUCUUCGCUAAUUUCACAGAUGCAAACUUUAUCUGUAGUCAAGAAGAAAAAAAAUAAGGGAGCAAUCCAACAAUUUAAAGCAGGUCUUUUAUAAGACGAUACUGCUAUAUAGAUUUUCAUGACAGCAACAGAAUCUGCAACUGCAGAUAAGGAAAUAAAGACGGAUUCCCAGAGCUGUUUGAGAAAAACAUUCCUUAAGCAACAAUACACAAAAAUAAUGUAUUCAGUAUUCUCAAGGAAUAGGACUUUUAGUGGUCAUCAUACUAAGCACUCUAACUAUACUGAAAGAUAUAUAUGACAGCAGUGGGAAACUAAUCAAUAAUUAAAGUAGUACUAGACAACAAGCUUUGCUUACUCCACUAAAGUAGUGUGAUUCUGCAGGCCAUCUGCAGUUUCCAUGCCUAAUGGAAGUGCACACUCAUAAUUUAUUUAGACCGGAGAAGGGGCAGUCCGACACAUAAUAUUUACCUUGCUAAUAAGAUUGUUAUCAAGCAUCCAGUCGGUUGGAAUAUUAAACUCCUUGCACUGCCUCAUCAUAGCCUCUCUUGUCCUUAGAAGAUUGUAGACACCUCUCUCAGUCCUGAAUUAAGAAUGCCAAUCAAAUUUUCAGUAUUUUGUGCAACUUUAUGGGUAAUAAUUAUUAGGUACUUGCAUAUUUCAUUAUAUUUCGGUAAACUUGGACAUACUUUUCAGAUAGUGUAACCAUUUUCUUCAGCGCGAUUUCACAGGGUAGACGUGGAUCAUCUUUAUAGUUUGAAACUUCCGAUUCCAACUUCUUCAGGUCCUGGUAGCCAAAAGCUGCCUCUCGUAGAGUGUCUGCCUUCUUCUCAGGCCAAUCAAAAUGCUUCAACACUGCUCUCUCAUCCACCUGGGUGUAAGGCAAUUAAGUUAAAGGAAUAAUUUAAGUGGCAGCUCCAACUGAAAAUGAUUACUCAGAAAUGAGUGGGAUUGUAAUAAACAUACUAGGAAGCCAAGUUCAUCAUCUAGCCACUUCACAAAUGCAACCACAUCUUCGAUAUCUUUGUAGGCUGCACUAGUCACCUCCUUAAUCAAUGAUUUCACAAAUUCACCCUGAGUUUCAACAUCUGCCUUGAUCUGCAAAUUAAAUAAAAAGUUAAAGCACACAGUUAGUGCCAGAACCAGCCCCAUCAGAGCUAUUUGUAUGAUCACCAGAUUUCCAAUAAGCUAGACUGAGCUCACUACUUACAGCUUGCAAAUGGGACGAGCGGUUCUCGAUUUCACCAAUCAUGCUACUCCGCACAUUCGCAGAGUUAGCUGCUUCACAGAUUCCACCACUGGAAGUAUCCUUUUUGGUGUCCCUUCUCAUAAGUGAAUGGUAGAGCUCUGCGACCUGAGGUGCCCUCUUCAUGACCCCAGUACUUUUUGAGGAAAACUUUGGAGGAGGCGGUGGCGGCGGUGGUCGUGGUGGAUUUACAGUCGAUCCAUUUGAUGGACCAGAAUUUGACACGGAAACAGAAGGUCUUGGUGGAGGAUUAGGGAUGCGCAAUGCACGCUUUUCAACAUCCAGACACUGUGACUUGCAUACUUCUGGCUUGCUGAGAACAAAUCUUGAACUUUCAGAUCGACCAAAAUCAUACUUGUCCACAAGAAGGUCACGCUUCUCCCUGAUUGUAGGAUCCUUAUUACAGGCAAAUGACUCAUCUGUUGCAUCCAGAAGGCUGAUAAAGGUAUCAGAUUGCCUUCUUUUAAUGAUGUUGAAGUCUUGUGCACAUCCCUUUGGUCCACCAAGUGAAUGCCUACGUGUCGGGCUUCGUGCUUCUGCAGCUUCAAUCCACGCCCUAUCAAGAAGGGCUUCCUUUUUAGAUGCUUGGCAACUCUUAUCAUUCUGGGACCACUGCUUGAUGCGUUCUGCAAUGCUGAAUUUUAUAUCAGAACUGUCCUCAGCAUUUUUUGCAUCACCUUCACCACCAUCACCCUCAUUAAAAGCCAUGACACCAUUGCAAUCUAUAUCCGUCAUUGCUCUAGCUGCUUGAUCUGAGUUACAGAGCUCAUGGCGUAGACAUGAAUUGAUCCACCGAAGAUAAGCAAGCUCCUCAACCUCUGUUAGCCGACUCAUUUGCAAUCCCUCAACUUGCUUGCUUAGGUUUGCAUUUGUGUGCCUCAGCAACGAUGCCUCAGCUUGAACCUUGGCAACUAUAUCACUCUGGUGACAGUAUUUAAAGCACACGAAAGAAAAAUUAGUUGAAAUAUUUUCCAUACAAAGUACAAACAGAAAGAAUAAAGUUCAAGCAAUGGUACCUCUGCAUUCUUCUCAAGGCCAGCCAAUUUGGAUUCAGCUGAAGAGAGCUUAAUUGCAAGAUUUCGUUUCUGAAACUGUAGUUCUUUGUUUAACCGGCGUAGUUCAACAACUUCGAACUCCAAGUUUUCUGAAGGUGUAUUGUCCCCAUUUACACUAGGUAUCCGGUUGCCAUGGCCAUCUAACCUUACAUUUUCUUCAUGAUGUUCUACCAUAGAAGAUAGAGCUGAUAAUUGUUCAGAUAUGUUUGUUUUCUCAGCUUCUAAUGAAGUCUUCAGUCGUGCAAGCCUGUCAACUUCAUCCCUCAUAGAAUCAAGCUCCUUCUCAAGUUCUGAAACUUUUGGGUUUUCUCUGCAUUGCCGCAACUCUGACUGUAAUGCUAAUUCCCUUUCUUUCGACUCACGUAGUUGCUCCCUGAGAUGAUCCAACUCAAGAAAAAGAUCAUGGGAUGCUGGGGACCUAAUAUUGUGGCAAUCAAAGACAUGGGGGUGGACUUGAGCACCAGCAGGUGAACAAGGGAAGUCCCCGAUAAGGGAUCUUUUCACCCUAGAGUGGUACGGAAUCUGUUGGUUGGUCUGAUUGACAUUUUCGACAUUUGCAAGAGGUGGUUUUUUGCUUGCAAUUGCUGCUGUCUUCUUGGUUUUCUUGUCUGCUGUAAAACCUUUGACAAUUUGGGAACCCCAUGAGGAUCCAAACUUAGGUUUCAGAGAACUCGAAUUGCUUUUGGAGUCAACCCUUGAUCUGCAUGGCUUUGUUUGGUUGUCAAACAUGAUUUCCUCUUUCAUCUUUUCCCAGGGUUACCAGUUUACCACACUCCAAGCACCAUUCAGCACUGCACAUAAAUGAGGAAAGUUGUUGAUAUAUGUAGCAGGCAAUAUCACCACAAGAAAAAUAGAAAUAAAUAAUAUGGUCAGCUGAUUUGUGAAAGAAGUAGAGGAUUAUGUGCCCAUUUUCAAACUAUAUAUAUAGCCCCACAACAUCCAUCAAACUCAGUAUUCGGGCCAAAGGAGCUCUUAUCAGCAACUCUAUGUAUGGAACAGUUAAUACCGGAACAGACCAUUUAAGUUUUAAUCCGAAAAGCCUUCCCUUCUCUAGUCGCUCCCAUGAAUUUUUUAAGCCUGGCGAGAGCUGCACGGCAUUCCUUAGGGAUUAAAUUGACUACAACUAUCCAAGCACACUUAUGCGAAACAAAAGGAGAUUACACAGGCCUGAACAGUCAAGUUUAGCACUUUUGAGUAACCAUCUCAUUGUGAAUCGCUGGAUUCCAAAAUCUUUCUGGCAGAAGAAUAAAUAAAUAAUAAAGUUUUUGAGGUAAACCCAUGCUUUCUACUACUCCUACAAAGGAAAAGGAAAUGAGCAAGAAUAGGACAUGGAUACUGCGAUUGAGUCAGAUCCGGGUAAAAAUAGCUUGCAUUGAGGUUUGGGGGUGCCCCCCGUUGAGCACAGAAGGAAAGGAAGAGAGGGGACGGGCAUACCAGCAUAGUGGUCGUCGCCGGUGAACGGACUAGGAAAGGGGCGUCGCCGGUAGCCCAAUCGUCGUCGGCGGCAAUAAAGGAAGGCAAAGGGAGAGGGACCAAAAUUACAGCUAAAAAAGAUUGACACUGAAAUCCUCCAACCCCAACCCUAAGCAACUCAAAUCUGCAGCAUUCCACUCCACCAGAACGAACCUGGCUAUGCCGACAAAGAGCCCCGGAUCAGCUCAACCUACUUUAGCUACUCCAAAGACCGCAGCCACGACCGCGGUGGCCGCCGGCGUUUAGAAUACUGAAGCAACGAGCAACUGGCACUAGCAGUAGUGGCAGUGGCGCUCUAGUAGCCAAUAAAUAAAGAAGGAAAUCGCCCCAGCGCCCAGCGGAGUGUGGAGCCGUGGAGGAGGAGGAGGACGGAAACAAACAAGGGAUGGUGCUUCGGAUGCUUGCCUCGCCGGCUCGCCCCAAGACGGGGAGAGAGAGAAUCCGUCCGUCCCCCACGCGCGGAUUUUUUCAGUGGAUUCCUCCCGGGUUCCGAGACGCCACCGCGACCGCCUCGAGGUCUCUCGCUCCCCCCCGUGGAGAAGAGAGAGUGAGGAAGGGGGGUUUUGAAUUUUGAAAUCGGAGAUGGGGAAGAAAAAGGUGAGUAGCCGUAGCAUAGCUCCACUCCAGCACGCUGUCGCUAGCUGGGGGCAGAGGCAGAGCAGUGGAGCUUACUGACGUGUGGGGUCCUCCGUGUCCGGUGGUCGGCUUCGGCAUUUUGCCUGAUUUUUCGCUCCUGUGUCCGUCCACCUGUCCAUGUCCACGGUGUCACGCUCGGGAGCAACCACAAUGCUCGGAGCUUCACGACACGACACGGUAAGGAAAAAGUCCACACACGUUUCUCAACUUUUACGAAAAUCUAUUUUUCUUUUAAACUUUAAAACUGAUUAAAAUACCUCUCUUAAUUUUUAAAGUCAUUCAUCUUAUCAUCCUACCCUGGUUAAAAAGGUUUCGAAUGCGACUUUAUUUUUUUAUUUUUCAUUUAUUUUAACUGAAUCUUUAAUAAAAUCAUAGUAAAACAUAGAAAAUUAUAAAAUAAAAAUCUAUUUUUCUUAGACUUUACAUGAGUAGAUCUACAUAAUGAAUAUACAAUAUAAUAUGAUUUGAUAUAAAAUUUUGUUGUAGCUUUAGAUCUAUUCUUUUCUGUAAUUAAAAGGAAUAAUUCAUAGGUGUAGAUUCUAUUGUUCAAUUGUGGUGAAGUUUUUAUGGUAUGCUAAUUAUUGUAUACUUAAGCUGUACUAAAAUUCUAUACUCAUUAGAUUAUGUAUAACUUAGUUAUAGAUUUUAUUUAUAUUUAUACUUGUUAAAUAUAAAUAAAUCUAUAAAUAAACUAUACAUGAUUCAAUGAGUAUGAAUUUUUAACCAUAAUUCAGCCAUACAAUAGCUAGCCCACCCUAAAACUUUUCAUCGCAAUUGGAUCAUAGAAACUGCAGCUAUGAAUUAAUUACAGAAAAGUAUAGAUAUAAAGACACAACAAAAACUAUACUAAAACAUAUUAUAUUAUAUGUUUACUGUGUAGAUCUACUCACGUGGAUUCCCAUAAAAUUAGAUUUUUUUUUAUGAUUUUUUCUAUGAUUUACUAUAAUUUUUCAAAAAUUUAGUCAAAAUAAAUAAAUAAAAAAGAUAAAACCACCUUCAAAACUGAUUAUAACAAAGACCAACUGACCAAGGAGGCAAGAUGAACAGUUUUAAAAGUUGAGAGAUGUGUUUUGUCCAGUUUUAGAGUUUCGAAGAGGAAAAAGCAAACUUUUGUGAAAGUUGAAGGAGGUAAUAUAGACUUUUUUCCAACUUAAAAGACUAGGUGGAUAUCUUAAAAGGAUUCGAACUAGUUUAGAAUAUGUGAAAAAUAGAAACUUUUUGCUUUGUGGGCAACCAUGGUGAAGUCUUGCUUGAUAUUCGCCUCUUGCACAAUCAACAGACUAGUUAGGGCACUCACAAUGCAGACUCUAUCAUAGAGUCUAAAGUUAUUUAUUACCUCGAAUAAUGUGGACUUAGAGUCUAAAUAAGACUUGGAGUCUUAUUUUUUCUACCUUUUUCUCCAAUAAAUAUGCUGCCACAUCAGCAAAAUACCAUAAACAAUAUAUAAUUAAUUGUCUUGGACUCUGUGAUAGAGUCUUGCAUCGUGAGUGCCCUUAGACGCUACAAUGGAUGGUUCCAUUACUUACCUAUUUGGAUUUGACGCUCGCACUACCCAUUAAACUAGGCACUAGUGCUGACAAGGGGGUGGCGCCAUAGAUAGGGGUGGCAAUGAAGCGGAUGAAGGCCUUGUUAUCCAAAACUUUAUAAGAUUCUCCAUCACAUCGAAUCUUACACACAUGCAUGAAACAUUAAAUAUAGAUAAAAAAGAUAACUAAUUGCACAGUUUACCUGCAAAUCACGAGACGAAUCUUUUAAGCCUAGUUACUCCAUGAUUGAAUAAUGCUUGUCAAAUAAAAACAAAAGUGCUACAGUGUCAAAAUCCAAAAAAAUUUUGGAUCUAAACAAGGCCGACGUAUCCAUCGAUCUUAACCCGAACUCAAACUUAAAACUUGAAAUCGCCCAAACACCAAUUCGGAUGAAAAUCCAUCCAUCAUCAAAAUUAGCAGAUCCACAAAACCCACCACAAUAAGGAAUUGUUUGGCAACACAUGUAUGAUAUAUAUUACAUAUAUUCACAUGUAUAAAUAAGAGGCAACAAACAACAUACAAUUCUACGACUCAACUUAGAACAAACUUUGUAGCUUACGGACACAAUUUAUUAAUACAAGACAUGAGUUCUGAUUUAGAGUGGUGUAUUUGGGGUCACCAUUAGGAAUCCGUGGGUGAAACCAAAACCAAAGCCGAACUCAAGGCCCUGUUUAGUUUCCCAUCCAAAAUUUGAGGUGUGCAUUCAUGUAACCUUUUGGAGCCAAACUUUGUUGGAUGGUUCAAACUUUGUGCAAGACAAUGUAUUGUUAUCUAUGGAUUGAACUCCAUGUGAUGUAUGUGUGUCUAUCAUUAUGUGAUGGAACUUCAGUUUGAGUCUGGGUAUCAUAUAUGUGCUGGUUUGCAAUUGUGUUUUUUUUGUAUUUAUAUUGUCUGUUGGACUGUCUGACGCUGAAAUUGCUUGGACUGUUGGAUCAUCUGUCGCUGUAGGUAUGGUAACAGACUAUCUGCCGCUGAAAAAUAUCAAUGGACGGUCUGACGUAAAAUAUAUUCAGGACGACAGACUGUGUGACGCUAAAAGUAUGGUCUGACGCUGUAUGUUUUUAGUGUCAGCACUUACACCGUCUGCAGAAGUCUGACGCUAUAUGUUUUUAGCGUCAGACCAUCUGACGCUGUAGCCACUUUUAGCGUCAGAUCAUCUGGCACUAAUUAUGGUGUUGUGGUGUAGUGCGACACAUUCGAUGUGGCAUCCAAAAAAUUUUCAUCUCUAAUCUAAACAGGGCCUAAGUUUUGGGUCUCCAAACUUGAAAAUCGAGUUGAAAAUUGCUCCCUCACCUGCACCUGUUGGACCUGAAAAUCAAAAGGACCUAGCUCGAAACUGCCCCAGUGCAAUCCCUAAGUGUAGAUGCUUGUCGGUUGUUUUUUUGGAUGAAGCAAGUUCGCCUUGCAAUGGUAGGGCCAAAGUGUCAAGAGGAAGGACUUGAUCGUUCUAUUGGUGACGAGGAAGAAAGCGGUGAACAUAACCAACUCACCGUAGGACUGGGUGAUGAUAGUAUUGACUUAUGCAUCAUAGAUUAGCUGGUUAGGUUAUUUGUGAUAGAACCUUACCAACUGAGUUCAAGUUCUCGACUUGACACAGGUGUUUGUAUUUUUCUUGACUUAUUUUAAGAUUUAACGGCGCUGGCGACGUGUCCGUCGACAGCGAGGGCCUGUGGUGACUUCGUAAAUCUUGAGAUUUGCCAGUCCAACUCGAUUCUUUGGAGGUGCUCAUAGAGGUAGGAUGUGCAUGCGUACAUUUAUAGGGGUGAGUGUGUAUCUGUGUAUGCGAACGUCUGUGUUUGUAAAACUAUAUUCUUUUGAGAUAUCAUGUAUGAGCAGGAGUCAGUAUAAGACAACACGAGAAGGGAGACGGAGGUAGGGUGGAGAACUAUAGAUAACAUGCACACAGGAAGAUGAGAGAAUUCUCUAUCGUGAUUCCUUGUGAGCCACUUAAAAAGUUCAACAGACUUCAGUGCCACUACUCUAAAUUUUUUUUGCCCUCCAGACCACUCAAAACCGUAGGUGUGAAAAGUCAACAAUACCCUUAGGUGUAAAUAUGCUAUUAUUUUUUUGAGCAUCUUAACGACUUCAAAUGAAAAAACUCAAAACUAGAAAGUUGUAGAUCUUGUCAAAAUCUACAAUUUUCAUAUAAAAAAUAUUUUCAUUUAAUUUAGCAAAAAAAGAUUUGUUUUGAUAUGGUUAAAAUAUAUCUUAGAAAAACAUAUCUUUUUUGCUAUAUUGAAUGAAAAUAAUUUUUAUAUAAAAAAUAUAGAUUCCAAUGAGAUUUACAACUUUUUAGUUUUGAGUUUUUCUAUUUAAAGUCAUUAAGAUGCUAAAAAAUUAACAUCACAUUUACAUCUAUGGUAUUUUUGACUUUUCACACCCGUGGUUUGACACCGUUAGAGCCUAAUCUAACGGUAGUGGCCUGGAGGCAAAAAAAAUUUUUAGAGUAGUGACAGUGAAGUCCAUUGAACUUUUUCAGUGGCUCACAAGGAAUUGUGAUCUUUUACAGUGGCUCACAGGAAAUUCUCUCUAAUUUUCCUAUUUUAAUAUUAUGGAUAUACUCUCUCUCCGCCAAGAAGAAUAUAAUUUUAGAUUUGAGAGUAGUUAAACUUUCUCAAGUUUGACCUAGAGAAAAUAUCAACAUUUAUGUCUUUAAAUAGUUUUUUGAAUUACACAAGUACAAAUGUAAACACUCAAACACACGCACACUCGCUCCCUAUGAAUACACGUACGGAAAUCCUAUCUUCAUGAGCACCUCCAAAAGACUAUGUCGGCACAUCUCGAGAUCGACGAAGUCAUCCCAAGCGCCUCGCUGUCAACGGAAACGUUGCCUACCACUGAAAGCACAACACCGUUAAAUCCUAAAAUAAAUUUAGAAAAAUACAAGCAUACAUGCCAAAUCGAGAACUUAAAUUAUAACAACUAUUUCAUAAUAAUCAAUCUAAUGAACUUAUUUGAUAUAAAAAAUUUUAGUACUUUUAGUAGAGGUGGUCAAAGUUUAAAUAACAACUUUUAUGAGAAUUCUAUCUUUUUUUGAUAGAGGAAGUACUAGCAAACAUGCAUAAGCAUUGCAACGGAACAUACACUUUGUUGGGCGAUUAUUUGAAUGACUUGUGGCUUGGAUAUUUAUGUAAUAGAUGUGUCCUCUGUUCCAACAUGUAUGGGAACUAGAAUCCUGUACCAUUGUUGGAUACACAAACAUGUGCGGUUUUAAUUUUUAUGAGCAUGGGUCGUGAGUUUGGAUCUCAUAGGAGACAAUGGAGAUACUACUAGAAUCCACAAAAUCGGUAUGGGAAUAUGUUCCCUAGAAUUUUUCGCAGGAGAAGCCUCCUAAGACAAUUUCAACCACAGUUUGGAAAGAUGGUUCCCCUAGGGUUUCUUUAAUUUUCUUAGCAAAAAUUUUAAACUCUAGGGAAACCAAUAGAUUUUAUAAAAAAUGGAUGGAAGAAUGACUUGGUUAUAUAAGGCCAGUCUCAAUGGAGUUUCACGAAGGGUGUCAUGCACAUUAAAUAGUCUGCCACAUCAGCAAGAGCACACUUUUUGUAUGAAACUGGGAGGAGAGAGAAUGGAAAAGUUUCACCAUGGUGAAACGAACGUCGGAAACGGUGUGAAACCCGCGUUGAGAGUCGUGAUUCGUUUCAUCCCAUCGGUCUUCUUCGACACCAGCCCCGCGGACUCCGCCUCUGACGCGAGCCACCAUCCGCAGUCGCAGUCCGCCGAUCUGCAGUCGCUGCCUCCAUCAUGGCCAUGAGGGCGCGUGCAUCCGCACGCGACCGCGGAUGCCUCCCAGCGCGGCGAGCGUGAGCGCCGGGCAGGCUCCACCGCGCCGGCUCCUUCUGGCCUCGAACCAACCGACGAUGCGCCGCCAAAGGCCAACUCCUCGACGAUGCACAGGGCGGACCGCGGGUGCUGCUCGUCACGGCGACUCGUACCUCCUCGACGACACGCGGGGCGGACUGUCGUCGUGCAGAAGAGGCAACGUGCAACCAUGGCGAGCGGGAAGGCCAGGCGAGGGCGAGGGCGAGGGCAAGCUGCUGUCGGGCGCGGACCGGGAGAGCUGCUGUCGGGAGCGGACGCGAGCGAGCUGCCUUCGCUGCUGCCGGUCGUGGCCCCGCUGGCCACGAUGCCAUGAAUGAACAAAUAAAGGAAGUGGAGAAAAAAAGAGAAACACGUCAGAAGUUCGGAGAACUUCAUCUGAUGAUGAACACUGAGCUAGUCAGGCGGCGGUGAGUACGGCUCGGGAAGACUAGAAAAAACGGCCGCGAGGCGAGUUCCCCGACGUCGUCCGCUGGGCAUGGCUCAGCUGGCCGCGAGAGGGGAAAAGAGAACGAUGGGACCCACAAAAGUUUAGAAUAAUAUAUGAAACCGUGCUAUGAAAUUACACACUGUGGAGAAAGAUAUGUUCCAAGUUAAGUUUCGCAUCUUGGAAACUGGAAAGGUGAAACCUUCCAUUGAGACUGGCCUAAGAGGAGAAAUUAGAUGUAAGAUAUAUAUAUGUUGGAUCAUGUGGUUAUGCUAUUGGUCAUGUAGGGAUUGGAUAAGAAUCGGCCACCAACCACAGACAUAUGCAUGUUUAUAUGCAAUUGAAGCAACCCAUGCCUUCUUUUUCCAUCUUGUUUUUUAUUGACAAAGUGACAUUUGUUGACAGGUGACCACUGAGUGACGACUUGUAUAUUUUGGUUCGGUAGUGGAAAUGGACUAUGCAUGCUCGACAAUGAGUACAUUUAACCAAUGGGUUACCAGACUUGUACCCCUAUACUAGGAGUAGGAUUAUCAUGACUCAUGAUGAAUUGAAUGAAAGGUGAUUGGCAAGCUUAUUGGGUAGAGCUAAGAAUUAGUCUGAUCCAAAUUCGUAAUUCACAACUGAAUAUUUCAAGCAACAGUGAUGUAAACAAUGUUCUUCCCCAAUUAUUUUGUGGCAUCCCAUGGAAGGAACACAGAUGCAUGGCCAAGAUAUAGAUAGUACUUUUAAAAAAUGUUUCUACACUUCGAGAUAAUGUUUCUCUUAUUCUAGUUAGCUCAACUCAGAGAACAAAAUGUUUUUUAUACUAACUUUGUUGAAAUGGGCUCGGGUCCCAGCAUGUUAGUGUUCUUUGUACCUUAUGUUAAAGUAAAUUCUUCUUUUUUGCCUCACAAAGGUUCCUUUCUUCUAGUGAAAUUCUUCGAGUAUAUAGACUAAUAUAAUUUAAGUUUUUUUCUUUUGCGAGUGGUAUAAUUCUCUGUCUACUUGAGCUUUUUAGCAAAUGGAAUUAUAGUUAGGCCAAGAUGUGUCUUUAGAAUGAAGUAAGUUCUCAAUUUCAUGCGGGUCAUUGGAAAUUUAGAAAAAUGCUGUUGCUACUGUAGUGUUAUCUUUUGGGCCAGGCCGACUCCAUUUGCUAGUUGCAGCCCGAAAUGCAAAUAAGCACCAGUAUAAACUGGGAAUAUACUCUCAAAAAUAUCAUUAGGAAUAAAGGCAUAGUUAAAGUUCUAGGACAUGAUCGAAUACAGUAGAGAUUAGAAUCACACUACAGUUUAAUUAGAAUUUUAUAUGAACAUAAAAAUAAGACUACCAAAUUUCAUCUGGAGGACUCUUACAAAAAAAUCAACAGGAGGCAAAUUAAUUCCAAGAAUAAAAAGGGAACAAAACCUGAUGACCUCACAAAAUCAAAUAUCUCAUCUUAUGUCUAUUGGCUUAGAUAGACACCUCAGUCUGAACUAACUUAUCACGUGCGACGUGGUAAUUCUGCUAUGAUGGUAGAAAAUAAUUCACUCUGUUUGUUUUAACCUUUUAAAGCCAGAAGAUGACCAUUUCUAAGAAUUUAGGCGACACCAAUAUAACCUAUUACCAACGGAAUGAUAUAAUUGGGGGCAACACAUAAUGGCUGCCUUGGUUUUAUCUUACUGUCUUAACAUGUCAGAAAGCAAAACAUCAUGUAAUAGCCUACCUAUGAGCGAAAAAGAAAGUAACAACAAUAAGUAGGCAAAAAGCAUCGAUCAAGAUUCAAUACGAUAUAUUUAGAUUUACAUGUUUUGUCCGGAAGACAUGUGUUGUACGUACAUUUCUUUCAGUAUAUAUACUAGGAUGGAUGUGACAUAUAGAAGCUCUAUCUACAAAUACCUUACUUAAGCUAUGUGAGAAACUACCAUAGUAAUAAAAAUCAUGCUCAAAAUAGCAAGUGGUUAUGUGACUACCAUCAAAACAAGCUUAUUAACCAAACCUAUACUUCAGAUAAAGUGGUGAUGGAGUUUUAAGCUAUGUAAGAAGCUACCAUGGUAGUACAGAUCAUGCUCAAAAUAGAAAGUGGUUAUGUGACACUACUACAUGAAAAAAUUUACCGUGGCGGGCUAAAAUGCUUAACUGAGGCAGUUUUUCCAACCACCUCGGAGCAAAGGUCAUGGUUAAUGUGACCUUUUGCGAGGCGGUUGGAUGCGCGCCUCGGUUAAUCAAAUAAAAAGAAAAAAAACCCAGAGGGCUUGGAUCUGGGCCUCUUGCCCUACCGCUAGGGGAGCCAACUCUGCGUAUGCAUCGGCAGCUCGCUGCGUCCAUGCCCGCUUUGCCACCACGAAGAUCCACCGCCCACUGCAGUACAUCCGUCGCGGGUGUGGACGACCUCACGCACUGCCGUGGGUGAAGGCCUCCAAGCCCUGGACUGCGCUGCCAUGCCCUCGGCCCCGGAUCCGCGCCACCUGAGGACCUUGAGGCAGAGGGAGGAACUCCUUGCUGCCUAGAUCCACGCCGCCAGAGGAGACGGAGGAGCUCCUCGCCACGCCGUCGGUGGUGCUUGAGGGAGGACGGAGAAGCGUCGCCGCGAUAGGGGGCUCUGCCACCGAAUACGAAGGAGAGGAGGAGGGGCGUUAGAGGGAAGGGGUGCGGUCAAUGGGGAGGGGCGCUCAGGUGUCAAGUUUUGCGAGGAGGGGAAGUGAAGGGCGUCGGGCGUAUGGCGUCGCGAGCAGCCAAGGUGAGAGAGUGCGGGUGCGGCUGAGGAAGUGAAGGUGAAACCCUAGGUCUAGUAUAUAUAUGUGACCUUGAAAUUGGGCCUCUUGGGCUGGCAGGCUGGGCCAGAUUUACUGAGGCGGGUGGAGUUAUAAUACCCGUCUCGGUUAAUGAUUUUACCGAGACUGUUAUGUUAAGAUGUCCGCCUUGAUUAAUCAAUUUUGCGAGGCAGUUUAUGUAACCGCCUCGGUUAAUAAAAAAUGACCGUCUCGGGCGGUUGAAAUUUUUGCCCGCCUCGGAGGGUGUUUCAAAAGAUCACGGUAAAUCUUUUUGUAGUAGUGUGAUUACCAUCAAAACAAGCUUAUCUACCAAUCCCAUACUUAAGACAAAGUAGCCAUGGAGUUUAAGCUAUGUGAGAAGCUACCAUAAUAAUACAAAAUCACGCUCACAAUGGAAAGUGGUAUGCGACUAUCAUCGACAAGCCUAUUAACCAAUCCUAUACUUAAGAUAAAGUCCUCCAAAUAUAUUCCAUAGUUAGAGCAACUCUAGUGUCAUCUAAAAGUGAACUGUGGGAAGCAAAAAGAGAUCUAGAACAUUGGAGCAAUCAAACAUUGGGCGUUAGACCAAAAAGCGUAAUUUGUAGACGAGCCAAAUCAAGAAGAAAAAAAAAUCAUGCCGGGCAUGUCACCCCUCACGAUUCUUUUGUCCCCAAUAUGACUCAAAUAGAGAUGAUUUUUUAGUUCUAUUUGUGUGCAGAAGUCGAUGUGCACAUUGAAGGCAACGAACUUUGCUUUUAUUCGAUUCCACAGUUCGACACGAUGUUUUGCAUAAUUAAGUUGGUAUUUGUUGUUGUUUGCAAACUCUCAGAACAAAAUGCAAAGUCUAAAAAUAGGCCAUCUCUAAGGGUUUUACAUAACUGAGUUGGCAAUUAGCCAAAGUGGACCCGGUCGUGAUUUUUUUCCUUCGCGCGCGCUCGCGAUCGUCUUCCCACACGCGACUUUCCUUCGCGUGCAUAAAGUCGCCGCCGGUUCUCGUGUUUUCCUCACAGGUCGCGCCACCAGUUCUUCCUGCUCCCCACCGCUCGUUGUAGGUGCCACCGCGACGACUCAUAUCAGACUCGUUGCAGGUGCCGCUGCGGUGCCAGCCCGAUGGAUGCAACCUGCCUACGUACCCGGAUCAUCUUCCUGCUCUGCUCGUACAUUACCGUUCUAUGGCUUCGAUAGAUUGCCGAUGCACUGGUUCAUCAAUUUUAAAAUUCAUUUGAUUCAAUUCGGUCCUACUCUUCUGGCUUGUAGCAGAUGACGGCGAUGGUGUUGCUUGCGGUCGCGAUAUAUGGCGCGAAGAAAGUCCAGGUCGCGCGGGGGACCGGGAGACGCGCGGUCGGCCUUUUGCCAAGCCGUGCGCGGCUUGGCAUAUAUGCCAAGCUUGCUCUCUCAUUUGCCAAGUUGCUCAAAAUGCAAACUCUAAAUGCAAAACCAUUGGAUACCUCUUUUGUGAUUUUUGACAAAUUACAAGAAUGCAAAGUCCAAAUGCAAAACCGUUGGAGAUGCUCUUAGAGGUGCUCUUAGGCUAUCUCCAACAGCCUAUGCAUCACGCUAUCCAUAUCCAAAAUGUCUGAUCACAGUGAAAAAGCACUCCCAACAGAGUAGGCAAAGAGAGGACCUAUUUUGCGUCAUGGUGAGAGGAGACUCAAAUAUGCAUCUCUCUCUCCAUGACCCAAAUCUGCAGCAUCGAUCAUGGUGGGCCCGCGACAGGGAUCUGCCGCACAGCGAGGCGCGGUCGGUCCACCGAUGAGGACAGCGAGGCGGGCCCGUGACGAGGAGACGACGGCGAGGCGAGGCGCGGCGGGCCUGCGGACAACGACGGCGAGGUGGGUCCGCGACGGGGAGCCGCCGUCACGACGAGCGUGGUUGUCCCGCAGACGACGACGAGGAGCCGCCGGCGCAGACGACGAUGGCGAGGUAGGUCUGCAGAGGGGCGAGACUGUCUCGGCAGGGAGGAAAGGAAGCUCGGCGAGCGCGGCCGUCUCGCGCAGAGAAGGAGGGAAGCUUGGUUCUAGGCACAGUGGAGAGGGAAGAGAGCAGCGCAUGCGGUUCUGUUCGAUGGGAAGGAAUGGGGCGGCACAUUCAGUGGAUCUGCUCUCCUUUUAGGUCGGCUGUUGGAACACGAAAGAUUUGGUGUGUGUGACCCUUUUCUCCUGCGUGACCCAAAUAAACCGUAUGGAUCUCAUAUAUGGGUGAGGACUGUUGGAGACAGUCUUAGAUGAAGAUCAAUUCACAAAUCCUAUCCCUGGACCUGAACGUCACAGCCCACGACUCACAAACCAUGGGCCAUGGCCCGCAACUAACAUCCUUUUCCCCUAACCCAAGCAACCUCAUAGUCGGUCCCUAUUAGUCAUUGCCCCACCGAUCACUUGCUCCCGUCAUUUUUUCGAAACACUAUUUUACACUCUAUUCCUUAUACUCAAUAGUUGAUAUAUAUUACACGCUGUAGUUUAUCCCUUAUACUCAAUGAUCAACAUAUACUACCUUGCAUACUCUAUCCCUUAUACUCAAUAGUCGACACGUCGUCGCAACCGUGGUGUCUAUAUAUAUGCCAUACAUAAAGCUAUUCUUAACUUUGAUGUUUACCUCUUCUCCCAAGCAAGGACCAUCAUUCUCAAGCAUCAUCAGACGAAGAGAGGCCAGGAGAAGAGAUUAGGAAAAGAACCUGUGAGAAUUAGUGGGAGAGAUCCACAAGGAAGGUACUGGCGUCGCGUACUCCCCCUCUCUCUCUAGUCGACCCCUUUGUUUUCUCUCUCCUCUCUCCUCUCUCUCUCUCUCCUGGUGCUGCUGCCUGCGCCUGCUGUGUGUGUGUCCCUCCCCCCUGCCAACCCUUUUCUAUUCAGUCGGUUCCCCUCUCCUCUUCCCCCAAGCCAAACACCACCACCCCUCCUUCCUCCCCACACCCCCUCUCCCUACGCCUCCUCGCCGCUUUCCCCACCCAAUCCGACCGCCGGGCCGCCUCCUCUCCGCCGGGGCGGGCGAUUCCCCGGAGAUUCCGCGCGAUUCGCCGCGGAUUCGGGGCUCCUCCGGGGGUUUCUCGGCGAAUCGGCGGGGAUCGGGACUUCCCGGCUGGAGGUCAGGCCCCCCCUCCUCCUCCCCUCCGAUCGCUAACCCUCGCUGCUUCGUGCCCCGCCGCGUGGGGGCGGGGGUUUGCCCGGUUACUGCCCGCGCCGCCCUGUGCCUUAGGUGCGAUGAACAGACGAGUGAACUUUUGCUUCUACAUACAACUGGGUGCUGGGUGGGGUGGGGGAGAGCGAUUCCGUGAUCGGGGCGCCUUCUGCUGCGUGUCCUUGCCCGAUGUGCGGAGUGGGUUGCCGAGGGGUGCGAGUCGGCUGCGGGUUCUCCUGGUGGUUAAUUAAGCAAGUUGCUAGUAAUUGCACGAGUAGAUUUACCUGUUGCUGUUAAUGACUCUGUGCUGCUGAUCCAUUUGUUAGUUAUAUAUGCUUUGGUGGGCAAGGGAUGCGUGUCCCCCAGUGCGUGGAAUCUUCGGUGUGCAAGGAAUGGAAUGGUGUCUGUGGGAAGUAGCAUUACAGAGGACAGAAGAGGGCUGAUGCUGGUGCUAGGAAGUAGAUGUUGCGUGCCUUAUCCUGUACUGAUAUGGACAAAAAUAGGUUUGACUGGAUUGUUGGAGACUUUGGUUUACCUAAGCAUGCCACUCUAGCAGCAUACUUCUUGUUUGUACCAAAGUUACAACAGAACUGCAACUUAUGCAUCCCUAUGUCGAAUGUGCUUGCAGUACUGAUAACUUUACCAUCUGUAGGUGUUGCGAUUAGAACAGCUGUAGAACUUUUUCGCUGUUUCGAAGGCUGGCUGAUACUGAUUGGCAUAUCAGUCAUUCAAUAUGCACAUUCCUUUUAGUAUGUUCUAUUCUAUUAUUUGAUGAAAUCAGAUCAUAUCGUCACCUUUGGGUUCAAGUAUUAGCAGUAAUCACCGCUAACCAUUGGUGGUUUCUCCAACUACGUUGGUUGCCAAGCAACGUAGUUGGAAUGGCUACAUUGUAGCAAUGUUCUUUUAGUUUAGUGGUGCCUGGCACAAGAUAGUGUUGUCAUGGCUUUGCUUUGAUGUGAGCAUCCUAAUUUUUGUCACGCCUUUGAUUACACUGUGGGAUACGCUGCCAAGCAAUCAGACAAUUCUAGAUUGGCAAGGAAUCAUAUCUUGAUACCUUUAGACAUGAGGAUUAAUGACAAGAUCUAUGGCCCCCUUUGCUUAGUAGCAAAUGGGUGUUUUAUCCUCUUUGUCAAGUGAGUCCUAAGUCUGAGGCCAGGAUGAAUUUUGUAGUGGGGCUGGGGCCAAUUAUUUCAUGACUCUCACUUUUUAAUUCCUUCUCUGCAGAAUCCUCCAUCUGUUUCGGUAACUAUUUGGAACAAUUUACGUGGAGAUUGCAUACCAUCACCUUCCCUGAAGUGAAAAAUAUAUGGGCUGAUCGUGGCAUUUCAUGGGAGGUUUUGAAGAUGAUGAACCACCCUCAAAACGCGCAAGAGCAUCCUCAGUAGAAUCUGCAAGUUUACCAGAUUAUUUCUCGUUUUCGAAAUCCGUCAAUCCUUUGGGAAGUACAAUGGCUAGACCUUUGCCUUCCCAAGGGAAAGAAGUUAUGGUUGGUUCCAAGGGUGUUAUUAAGAAGGAGGAAUUUGUUAGGAUAAUCACCAAAACUCUGUAUAGUCUUGGAUAUGAAAAAAGUGGAGCAGUUCUGGAGGAGGAAUCUGGGAUUAUUUUACAUAAACCUAUGGUGAAUCUUUUCAGAGAGCAGGUGAUUGAUGGGAAUUGGGAUAAUGCGGUGGUUACCUUGAAUAAGAUUGGCCUUCAAGAUGAAAACAUCGUGAAAUCUGCGUCAUUUUUGAUAUUGGAGCAGAAAUUCUUUGAACUUCUAAGAAAUGACGAUGUCAUGGGUGCUAUGAAGACUUUACGAUGUGAGAUCACACCCCUUGGUGUUAAUAGAAAAAGAGUGCAUGAACUGUCGACUUGUAUGAUUUCUUGUUCUCCACAGCAGUUGUUCCUUGGUUUUUCAAAGCUUGGAAUUGAUUCUUCUAGUUCUCGGUGGAAGCUUCUAGAGGAAUUGCAAAAGGUGCUCCCUCCAACUGUGAUGGUGCCUGAGAGGAGGUUAGAAAAUUUAGUUGAGCAAGCACUUACUGUACAAAGGGAUGCUUGCUAUUUCCAUAAUUCUGUUGAUGGGUUGUCCCUCUACACUGACCAUCACUGUGGGAAAGACCAGAUACCGUCUCGCACGCUACAGGUAAAAAAGACUCUGGUACCUGCUUCGGUGUUUGCUUGGAGCGCUAAAACCCCACAUAAGUGCUAGUUCUGUGUCUGCUGGUCAGCCACUUAUGUACUGUAUUGAUUUGUCAUUUGUAUGUUAUUUAAAACACCUCAGUAGUUCUUUUUUUGUUCUGUAUUUCACUUCCAUUAGCUAUAUUUGGAUUAUGAUACACAGCAAUUUGAAUGAAAACAAUGGAAGUCCCAUUGUUGAUGCUGUAAUUUGCAAAUCUGAAGUCAUAAUCCAGCUUUACAGCAUGUAUGUAGACCACUUAAGCUUCCUUCUACCUUCCCCCUUGCUCCAUCUCCCUCCUUGUUCUCCCCACUUCUCACCAUUUGUUGCCAAAUAAUAAUUUCAGUUUACUGCAGAGGGUUUUUUUUCCUGAAAAAAGGUUGAUAAGAGCUGGGAGUGCCACUCAUCUUUGCACUUCACAAAAAUAUUGUAUUAGCUAUGUUUUCUUUGUUAAGAAAUCAUUCUUUCACUUGCAGUAAAAUGAAUAGAAACUUGCGACUUGUAUUUUGCCGUACAUUGUUGUCACUUUUAGCUGGAUGUGAAAUGUUAGAGAACUUGGUUAUCAAGACUAUUUUUUUCCUAGUAGCUGCAUAUCUUGAAGUUCGAUGCUUUGAAGUUCACAAGUAAAAAAAUUGUUGCAGGUUUUGCAUGCACAUCACGAUGAAGUGUGGUUUAUCCAGUUUUCAAACAACGGAAAGUAUUUAGCCUCAGCGUCAAAUGAUAAAUCUGCAAUUAUAUGGGAGGUAAACUUGUGAACCACUGAACUUAUGUUUCCAAAGUCUUCUUUUCUCAUGGUCUGCGACUCUGCGUACAAACUGGGUGGCCUGUUCCUUAGUUCCUAUUUUAAAUUUCAUGUCAAGAACUGAACUUGUCCAACCUUACUAAUGCUUUUCAUCACCUGUUCUUUAUUUUUUUUACCAAAAGUUGACUUUCAAAUCCAUUGUUAUUUUCAAAACAAAGACAGAAGUCUGCCAUUUCAUAUUACAUUUUUUCCACUGAAAGCCUACUGCUUAUUACUCCGUCAGUUCCAAAUUAUAAGACAUUUUGGCUUUUCUAGACACAUUGCUUUUACUAUGUAUCCAGACAUAGUGGUAUAUCAACAGUCAUUGUACUCCCUCUGGUCCAGUUUAUAAGGCACCUUCUAACAUGGUCUCCUAAAUUACACUUUGACCAUUCAUUUAUUUUAUAUUAUAUUAUUUGUUAUAAACUUAUGAUCAUUGGAUAGUACAUUUGAUUACAAAUCUUAUCAAUUUUGUUUUACAAUGGUUAAAAAUUCAGUCAAAUUAUUAGUCAAAAGAUUAUAUAAUGACUCUUGACCUACACAAAAUGCCUUAUAAACUAGACAGGAGGGAGUAUCUAGAAAAGUCAAAACAUCUUAUAAUUUGAAAUUGAUGGAGUACAUCUUGUAAGCUCCCUAGCUUGAAUACUGGCACUUCUGUAUGUUCUUGUUGAUCAUGAAAGUGUCUGUCCCCACUAUCUUACGGUUGCACUGCAGUAAGUUGGGUUGUAAUGGUAAUACAGGUAGAGACUUCAAUCGCGUAAUUUGCUACUGAUAAAUGAAGCUUUAGUUUUUACUUCUGUUUUGUUGUUAUUGACCAUGCUAUGCGGUUUACUUUUCCUCUUUUUUAUCCCUUCAUGAAUUAAUCUUUUCAUUUCGUAGGUUGAUGAAGAUGGAGAGCUAUUACUGAGGCAUACAUUGAUUGGUCAUCAGAAGUCGGUGAUGAUGGUCGCAUGGAGCCCUGAUGAUUGCCAGCUUCUCACAUGUGGGCAGGAAGAAGCCAUCAGACGCUGGGAUGUUGAAUCUGGCAAAUGUCUUCAUGUUUAUGCAAAGCCUGUUGGUUUGAUAUCAUGUGCUUGGUUUCCAGAUGGAAAACAAAUAUUGUCUGGUCUAGCUGAUGAAAACUUUUGCAUUUGGGAUUUAGAUGGUAAUGAAGUAGAUUGCUGGAAAGGGCAGAGAUCAACAAGAACAUCUGAUUUUGCUGUAGCAAAAGAUGGAAAUCUUAUAAUAAGCAUGAGUAGGGAGAGCACAAUUCUUCUAUUUGAUAGGGAGACAAAACAAGAGAGGUUAAUUGAAGAGGGUAGUACAAUUACUUCAUUUUCUCUAUCAGAAGAUGGUGAUUUCCUGCUUGUAAAUCUUAUAAGCGAAGAGAUUCAUUUGUGGAACAUAAGAAAUGAUCCUGUUCGAGUCAACCGGUACAAGGGCCAUAAGCGCAACCGGUUUGUGAUAAGGUCUUGUUUUGGUGGAUCUGAGCAGGCGUUCAUUGCUAGUGGGAGUGAAGAUUCACAGGUAUGGCGAUUGCCUUGUGACCCACCUAAUGGCUAUAGAAUCGAUAUUAUGUGUGCACUUACCUUUGUUGUCAUUGUUUUUAUUAAUAUGCACUGCUCCCAGACACAUGCUGUUUUAGACAAUUAUAUUUAUUGUCAGAUGAGUCAAAUCUAAUGGAGAGUGCAGCUAACAUGUUUGUCAUUUGAACCGUCCUCAUUGCAUUACAUUAUUCUUUUAUAUACGAUAAAGCAUUCAAACAUCCUGUGACACGGAAAUCAUUGGCUAACUCGGGGACGCUCUUGCAACUGGCGCCUAUGUCUAGGCCGGUCUCAGAUUUAUUAUAAUUUAAUAUGCAUGCCUAAUUGCUUAUGGCCUUGUUUAGUUUCGAAUUUUUUUUGGGUUUUGGUACUGUAGCACUUUUGUUUUUAUUUGGCAAUUAUUGUCCAAUCAUGUACUAACUAGACUCAACAGAUUCAGGUAAACUGUGUAAUUAGUUUUUAUUUUUGUCUAUAUUUAGUGCUUCAUGCAUGUGUCGUAAGAUUUGAUGUGAUGGGGAAUCUUGAAAAGUUUUGGUUUCUAGGGUGAACUAAACAAGGCCUGUCUGCACAUGCUAGUUUCCACCACUUUUCUUCUAUAGUUUCAUACAUUCGGCAUGCAGCAUAUUUGUUGACACUUUCUUCCAUGUCUUCUGACCAAAUCUUGCUGCUGAUUUAUUUUAUGCUAGGAGAUGCCACUAUAAAUACGUUGAAAUUAUCCUGUGUUUUUCAGCUGAUUGUCUUUUCUGAUGAACUAUUAUACUUCCAAGGGGUGUAAUGGAGGCAUGUAGUUAUGGCAUCCAUAUAUCUUGUAGGCAGUAGAAAAUAUGAUACUUUGCAUUUCAUCAGUAAUAAAAGAAGUAAAAAUGUUACUCCUGCCUUUCAAAUUGGAAGUUGUUUUUGUUUUUCUAGAUACAUUGCUUUUACUAGGAAAGUCAAAACGACUCACGAUUUGAAAUGGAGGGAGUACUUCUUAAAGUUGCAUUGGGAAACAUAAGAUUUAGCCUUUGCAAUGUCUAGAAGGCCUGUGGUUGGUUGGUCCAGCCCACACGGUUCAUUGCAUAUUUUCUUUUGUACCCUGCAAGGUAAUAAUGUGCAACACCUGGUCAUGUUUCCAGGUCUACAUAUGGCAUCGAGCCACUGGUGAUCUCAUUGAGACUCUUGCUGGUCACUCGGGCACAGUCAACUGCGUAAGUUGGAACCCUACGAAUCCCCACAUGCUUGCAUCAGCUAGUGACGAUCACACAGUUCGUAUAUGGGGGGCAAAGAAGGCCAGUCUUAAGCGCAAGGAUGUUGGGAGCAGCAACUGCAACAGUAACGGUUUCCACUCGAAUGGCAAUGCUCAUGGCAACGGUUUCGUUCACCAGUGCAAUGGGAACAGCACCAAAUGAUUGGCCAGGGCAAUGUAUCUCCAUGGAUGGUUAACUGGCAUCUGUAAAUCCCCCUUUCCUUUUACUUCCCUCCUGGAAGAAGAAUCGCCACCGCCAUAGUGAAAAAAAAAACAAAAAAAGAAAAAAACAAAGCUGCAGCACAAAGUGUGGGGAACCUGCUGGGUUUCGUGCGCCAUCUUUCCCUUGUUCCAUCAUGACUGUCAUCACAUUUAUUUCUUAAUUCAAGCUGGGAUGGAAUUAUGAUAUUGCUUAUGCAUCUUUCAUAUCUUGAUGUACCCUCCCUGAUUGAUUGUAACUGUAUUUUGGUGGUGAUGCUGAUGGUGGUCAAUUCCUCUGAUUGCAUUUUGCCUUGAGAAGAAACAAAUGUUGGCCUAGGAUGCUCCGCCUAAAAAAAUGGGAUGGAACAUCUUAUCAUAAAUUUAAAUAGAUUCAAUUAUUUGUUUCAAGGGAACAAGUGGUUUGUUUGCUUGCCAUAUUAUUCCUUGUAAGCAAAUAUCUAGGGUAAAUGGAAAUUUUGAAUAUUUUUCAAACCAAACAACUAACCAGUGUUCUAGCAUCAUUGAAAUAACUUGUGUGUUGUAGGUGAACUUUCUUAAAAAAAAACUGUUGCAUUUGAAGAUAUGAAAGUUGGGUAGGGGCAUUUACGGUCUGUUUGGUUAGGCUAUGGAGAAGUUGUGAGCUGUGAAAGUGAAAAAGUAGUUGUGAGUUGUGUGAAAAAAGUGGCUCUUUGGUUUAAAUAACUGAAAACCAAUCAUCUCUCUCUCUCUCUCUCCAAACAGCUGUAAAAUAUCUAUUUUCAUCCAUUUGGAAAAACUAAAAGGGGAGUUCAAGGUAUUGUGAAAAUUGUACUACGAGAAAGCAGCAACUUCCUUUUGUUCUAUCGUUUGGUUGGCUUUCUGCUUUUCUAUCGAUCAGCAGAAAUGUUUUCCAAAAGCUGAUUAAACAAAAACUUUACUAAAGAUGAACCUUGAGGCAGGUUAGGGCACGGCCAACGCACGCAGUUAAAUUUGUUAGCCUCGUGCAAAAGUACCAGUCUACAUAGAGACUCAGGGGGUGUUUAGUUAAAAAAAUACAAAAUGCAGAAUGUCAACUAUUUUAGAAUAGUAGAAUGUAAAAUGUUGAAAUUUUCUGGACAUGAUACCUUCAUAUAUGACCAUUGACUAUAAGAUGAGUUCAUUUCUAUAUUUGUAUAAUAAUUUUUGGUAUAAUUCACUUGGUUCCACAUGCAUAUAUCAUUAUUUGCAUGUAGGUAUGAAUGUGUCUCAAAGUGCAAGGUCAUCAAAGUUGAAUUUUUAGUUCGCUAACGGCCCGAUAGUGCUUUAUUGGGAAGGUCAUAACUCAUCCAUCUGGAAUGAGAUUGAGGUCAAUGAGCACUUGAUGGAAAGCUUGUUUGAUAAGCUUUCAAAUAGAUCUGGUCCUACCUCAAUAUCACAUCGGCAAAGCCUUCAAAUAGUUAUUAUAUUCUGUUGUUGUUUGUGCCGAGAGCUACAUCAUCAUUAUGGGUAUAUUUUUUUUCUUGUGACUCUAGUCAAGUGGGAGCACAUCUCAAGGAGAAGGAGAAGCCACAAAAGGAGCCCUUGAAUGUCCUCCUCUUUGCCCACCACCUUAGAAGGUCAGCAAAGUCGUUCAAGACAAGUCAGAGGCCCAAUCCAUAUCAAGUUUGAGUCCAUCUCGGGCUUCGGGACCAGCAUGAGGUAAACACAGACGUCCAGGACACAUCCGGACUCUGUUUUUGAUGAUCCAUAUAUGGAUGGAAAGAUAAUUUCAUAAGCUAACCAACGGCUUUGGUUUGAUGCCUAAAUUCCAUCGGCGUAAAGGGAAAUCGUCGAAACAAGUUGACAUUUAGAAUCCGUCGGGGCGUUACGUCGCCAUCUUUAGGGUUGUUGGGCCUUGUAACGUGUUAGACCACCUUAUGGACGUGAAGAGGAGUCCUUAGACGUCCCUUAGGCUAUAUAAUUAGUAGCCUCCACCUAUGUUAGGGUUUGGCUUUUGCUUAGAUUAUUUUGUCAAAAACAGUUUCGCCGUGAGAUCCUAACUCGUGAGAUUAAUCAUUCAUCUGCAAAUUGGUUGCAUUCUUCCUUGUUCUUGCUUGUAUUAUUCGAUUCGGAGGCAAGGAUUAGCCUUCUUGGUGAGGUCAACCGUGCAGCGCCGGUCGAUAACCAGAGGAGAUGUGGUGCUAAGGUUGCAGGGUUUGGAUCUUUGUGAUCUGAAGCCAGAUUGUGUGUCGUUCUCUGACCAAAUCGUUGUUUAUCUUGAAUCUGAUGGAAGAUCGGGACCCAUCCCCAUUAUUUAGUUCCAUCCGAAAUACAGAAUUCGUGCAAAAGUACCAGUCCACGUAGACUUAGGGGGUGUUUAGUUAAAAAAAUGCAAAAAGUCAACUAUUUUGGAAUGAUAGAAUGUAAAAUGUUAAAAUUUUUAGAGUCAUGUUUAGGUCCAUCUAAAAUGUAGAAUCUAUUGUCCCCAUGAGAGCCUCUUGAAGUUCUUUUUGGGUUUUUUAAGCCUCCUAAGGCCAAAAUCUACAAUGGAGAAUAACUAAUUUUUUACCAAAAAAUUUAUAUACUUCCUCCGCCCACGAAAGAAUCAAUUUCUAGGAUCCGUGCCAGUCAAACUUUUUAAAGUUUGACUAACUUUAUAGAAAAGAGUAACAACAUUUAUAAUAUAAAAUACACAUUAUAUGAAAAUAUAUUCUAUGAUGAAUCUAAUAAUACUAAUUUGAUACUAUAAAUCUUAGCAUUUUUUUCUAGAAAUUUGGUCAAAGUUUAAAAAGUUUGACUUAGGACAACUCUAGAAAUUGACUCUUUCGUAGACGGAGGGAGUAGUAUUUAGUUCCAUUUUACAAAAUGAUGGAUCAAAAUCUAAUUUUUUUUAAGAGAAAAGGGAAACUAAAAACCCUCCUAGUAAUCUAGUUGUACUAUUCACUCAAUCCUAACGUACUAUAGUUUGUGGUCCCAUGAAUUACUGUUUUCUUCCAUUGUCUUUAUACGUUAUGUUUCAGCUUCUCAACGCUGGCUGUAGCGGGUGUGUCUCAAACUUUUGUCAGAUGGGGAUGGGGAUAUUGUAGCCUCUUCAGGCACAUCUGAGGUUCUGCGCGAGGCCAUCAAUCGCUAUAACCUGGAUGGCUGACUCCGGUGUUAAUCGCUACAAUGUGGAUGGCAUCGUCGGCAACGGCUAGAUAUCGUUGGGGCACUUCAGUAUCUAACGUUGACAAGGCUAGAUAUAUCUUUCUUUCAUUCUCCCACAACGUUGCCUUAGAACACUGUGAAGAGCCUUAAAAUAGGGAUUGUUGGAUAUCUUGAAGGGCUCAAAUCAAUCGGGAUUCAAAAUAGGAAACACAAAUCCAUGUUGGUUAUUAGUGCCUUUUCAGAUGCUGAUUAGGCAAAAUAUUCUUUUGAGCAAUCUUGUGUCAUAUGGCGUGCAAUGAAACAAGCAACUAUCUCUAUGUCUAGAGCUCAUAAAGCUACAAUAAAUACAGCUACAAAUUAAGAUAGUGUGCAUUCACAAGCUUCUGCAUGAAUUGUGAAUCUCACAUCCGAAAGUAGCCUAUUAUAUUGACCAAAUAUUUAUAUUAUGUCAUUCUGGUCUUUCAUGCUAGGACAAACAUGUAGAGAUUAACUAUCGCGCUUUGUGGGAGGAUAAGGUCUGGUUGGAUGUUGGAGUAAAAUUUAGUUCAAGUUUGACUACAAUCCAUCCCAAACACAUGUGGAUUGAGAUGACUUCGACAUUCAAAGAAGAGCUGGAUCAGGCAACUUGAUAUAAGAUUCAUCGGCUCGACAAAUGUGCAUGUAAAUUGCCAUACAUCGGUAAUUAUAUUAUUACUCUUUUUUAAGGCGCAAGUCUUCCGAUGCAUAGAAGCUUAGACUUUUGGGGUCUAUUUGUACAUGUGUAACUAAUAAUUAGCUGCUAAAAUUAGCCAAAAAUCUAUUUGGAUAUUUAUCUAGUAAUAAGGUCCUGUUUGGAUCUCCUCUAAACCUAGCUCUAAAAAAUUUAGAGUAUUUUGGCUUAUUUUGAGGUGUAAAGCUCUAGUGUGAGAUACUGAGGUGGGAUAAAAUUUAGAGGUAACUUAAAACUAUCUAUUUGGAGAUUUUAGCUCUGAAGUUUAGAGCAGGAGAUCAAAAUAAAACCCUAAGUCUAACUAAUGUCUUACCUAUAACCUAGGUAACCAUUAUUGGUUUCUUUUAUCUAACACUGCUUAUAGCUAUCUGGAUGGAUCCAAAAAGAGCCUUAGUAAUUGAUUUUUUAUAAUUGCUUGUGUGGGACCCAUGCGGUGACACCUAUAACUCUUUCUCCUAGUGUUAUUAGAUUCAAACCACUAAAGUUUUUGAAAAUGAGUUAUUGGGCUCUGUUUGGAUCUAUUAGCUGCUGUUAAUUAGCUAGGUAAGUAUUAGUUGGUUUGCUCCAGUUAAUGACAUACUCCUUCUGUGCGCCCCCAAAAUAAGUGACUUUUUUUUUACUCACAGACAAGAUAUUUGAUCGUUUGUCUUAUUUUUUUUUUGUGUGUAAAUUAUAAAAUAAGUAAAUUAUUAUUAAUUAUCUCUAAUAAUCAAAUAGAUCAUAAUAAAAUAGAUAAUAUUUAUAUAAAAAAUUUGAACAAAAUGAAACGUCAAACAAAAAUGUUAAAGAAAAAAACGUCACUUAUUUUGGAGAAGGGGGAGUAGUUGUUAGUUGAAGCUUCAGUUAUGUGGAUCCAAACGAGCUAACUAUUACUAGUACCUAACCUAAUAUAUCACACACAGCUGUGUUCAAAGAACUUACUAUGGCUCAAAUGUUGCCGUCACUCUGGUUCCUGCCGGCCGGCUCCUACUGGGCCGGCUAUACAUGCCCAUCCGCACGCACUGAAAUUUUCGUCCAACAGUAGGGUACACCUAACACAAACAAGAUUUUUGACUGCACUUGUGCAAAUGAGAACGAUGCUGGAGUUUGGACAAAUCCAGCCAGUCCUUGUCACUUAUCAGUGACAACACAGAUGUCGCUACGUACCGCCACCAAUCUUGUUGUUUUGCUAUCCCUUGUCCAGUGCAAUCAUACAUAUACAAUCUCUCAUAUAUAUCAAUGGUCAUUAUAUGUUGGGAAUCCUUACAAGCAGAUAUAUAGCAGUGGCACCCCCUUGCAGUCUUGACAAGGUGUCAGGAAUUGAGCUUGGAAAUGGAGGAGUUCGCCCUGUGCCCAAAUCCUCAUUUCGUGGUCAUCCCAUGGCCAGUCACCAGCCACAUGAUUCCCAUGGUGGACAUCGCCUGCCUCCUCGCCGCGCACGGCGCCCCGGUCACCAUCAUCACCCCGCCUUCCUGCUCCCAGCUCGUCCACAGCCGCGUCGACCGCGCCCGCGCCGGGCAAGCUGCCGGCUCGGCGGGCAUCGGCAUCACGGUGACCGCGCUCCCGUUCCCUUGCGCCGAAGCCGGCCUGCCGGCGGGCUGCGAGAGGCUGGACCACGUCCCCUCGGUCGACCUCGUGCCCAACUUCUUCGACGCCAACGCGCAGUUCGGCGACGCCGUGGCGGACCACUGCCGCCUUCUCAUGGCGACGCCGACGCCGACGCGCCGGCCGAGCUGCAUCGUCGCCGGGAUGUGCAACACGUGGGCGCACGGCGUGGCGCGUGAGCUCGGCGUGCCCUGCUUCAUCUUCCAUGGCUUCGGCGCGUUCGCUCUGCUGUGCUGCGAGUAUCUCAACACGCACAAGCCGCACGAGGGCAAGUCGCUGGACGAGGCCAUCGACGUCCCCGUCCUGCCGCCGCCUCUCGAGCUCAAGUUCGCCAGGAGGCAGCUGCCGCUACAGUUCCUGCCUUCGUGCUCCAUUCCGGAGAGCCGCCUUCGAGAGCUCCGGGAGUUCGAGAUGGCCGUGGACGGCAUCGUCGUGAACAGCUUCGAGGAGCUGGAACACGACUCGGCCGCGCGCCUCGCGGCCGCCACGGGCAAGACCGUGCUCGCCGUCGGCCCCGUCUCGCUGUGCGGCGGCGGCGGCGGCGGCGGCGCACGCGCACCUCCUAGCCUCCUCGACGUCCGGGCCGCCACCGACAGCUCGGUGAACGAUGACGCCAGACGGUGCAUGGCAUGGCUAGACGCCAAGAAAGCCGAGUCGUCGUCGUCGUCCGUGCUGUACGUCAGCUUCGGCAGCGCCGGCCGCAUGCCGCCGGAGCAGCUGAUGGAGCUCGGGCUGGCGCUCGUGUCGUGCUCCUGGCCUGUCCUCUGGGUCAUCAAGGGCGCGGACACGUUGCCCGACGACGUCGACGAGUGGCUACAGCACAACACCGGCGGCGACGACGGCCAGUGUCUCGCGGUCCGCGGGUGGGCGCCGCAGGUGGCCAUUCUGGAGCACCCGGCCGUCGGCGGGUUUCUGACGCACUGCGGGUGGGGCUCGACGCUGGAGAGCGUCACGGCGGGCGUGCCCAUGGCCACCUGGCCGUUCUCCGCCGAGCAGUUCCUGAACGAGAAGGUGAUCGUUGGCGUGCUCGGCAUCGGAGUGUCUGUCGGCGUGACGAAGCCCACGGAGGGCGUGCUGACCGGCGCCAAAGACGGCGGCGGCGGCGGCGCUAGGGCGAAGGCGGAUGUGGGAAUGGAGCAGGUGAAGCGAGCGUUGGAUAUGCUGAUGGAUGGAGGAGUGGAUGGGGAGGCAAGGAGGACGAAAGCUAGGGAGCUCAAGGCCAAAGCGAAGUCGGCUUUGGAGCAUGGAGGAUCGUCGUAUAUGAAUCUGGAGAAGAUGAUACAAUUUGCAGCUUAAUUAGCUUGAAAAUGGAUUGGUCUAGCUUGGUCAGUUUCAGCAAGCAACUCAGUUUAUUUCUGCGUAAUAAAGGUUAAGAAACUACUAGGACUGCAAGCAGCUGGGGUAUAUUACAUGUAGGGUUCAGGAACGCUGUCGCUGCAGGCUGGGCAAUCUCUGUCCAGGAUUGCAACUAGGCAGGAGUAGACGAAAAAUGGCAACAUCGAUCAGAGAUACUUUGGAUUGAAGAUCAGUGACUCAUGUGCGUUGUCUAAGAUUUACUCCCUAGCUAUGUCCUGGAUAAAUACAGUACAUCGUGACUUCUAAAAUUUGUACUGCAAGCAGACGGGGGAGAAAGUUAUUUUUGCCCUUAAGGGCAUGUGCUCCCACUCUCUCUACCACUGGAUUCGCAUUGAAAAGUGUGCAAACACACAUCUCAAUGCGAAUCUGCUUUGAGAUGUGUGUUUGUACACUUCUCAAUGCGAAUCCAGUGGUGGAGAGAGCGAGAGCAUAUGCCCUUGAGAGCAAAAAGGUUUCAGGAACACUGUCGCUAGCUGCAGGAUGGGCAAUCAAUUGCAACUGGGCAGGAGUGGCACGGUAGAGGAUGAUUCAAUAAUGCUAUGUGAAUGAUGCUUUGAUCUAUUGAAGAAAAUGAAGAACACAAUCAUGCAAGCGAACAGCAUGAGCCACAAAUUGCUUUCAUGAAUCAUGAUGAGAAGAAUUUGCGCAUUAGUGUUGUGGUACUUGCAUUGAUAGUAUACAGUCUAUAGAGCUUAUGGAUUGCAUGGUGUUUGGAAAAGAAAAUUGUCCUGAUUUCUGAAUGCACGUUCCCGUUCUUAACAGCUACUGCGCAUAAAAUAUGUGGUAGUUAAUAACAAGAGAAUGAAGCCUACAAAAAUAAUGAAGAUGCAAAUGGUUAUUCAUGGGAAUGAGGAAUGAAUGCAAGAGUUCUAAAUUAUGAAUAAAAUGGGAACGUAAUAUUCUAGGUGUAAGGUAGCUAAAAAUGUAUUUUUAUGUAAGUGUUAGUGAAACUCUCUUGAUUACAUACCGAGGCCAUGAUACCGUUCAGAGAGACGGGGACAUCUGCACUAACUGGUCUAUUAACCGUAAUUCCAUAUCCUUAGAGCAACUCCAACAGUUUACGACUAAAACUCACUUGGCAAAUCUAUAAUUUUGCCAAGUCUCAAAACCAAAUGCUAAGUGAAAAAAGAGGUCUUCUCCAACAGUUUGUUAUUUAGGCUUGGCAAAAGAACUUGGCAUCCUAGGGUUUUUGCCAAAAUCACAAAAUUGAGCCUCCAACAAGUUGGCAAAACUAGUUGGCAAAUUGGGAUACACGUGAUGCCAAAUGAUGGAGGACUUGGCAUAUUUGCCAAGUGAAGGGGGGAUUUUGCCAAGCUCACAAAAUUGCCAAGUAGUUUUGCCAAUUUGUUGGAGGCUGUUUUUUAUGAUUUUGGCAAAAAUCCUAGGAUGCCAAGUACUUUUAGCAAACUGUUGGAGUUGCUCUUAGAGUUACAUGCCUGGCUCACCAUGGUGUCAACCUCAAAUAACCUAGUCCAUAAAGGAGAUCCUAGUUUCUCUAAAAUGAAAGGCCAAAUGGGCCAUAAAAAAAAAUAUUGUGGUGGACUUGGUGGACGCCAAGACCAGUGGCCCACGUAAGGGCGUAAGGCCCAAGCCCACAACGUUCUCGACGCUACCUGAUCACUCCUACUAGGGUUCCGCACCCCUCCCCACCUAUAUAUACCGUCAGCCGCCGCCGUCCUCCCAUUCCCCUCCCCUAUCGUGAACCCGCCGCCGCCGCCGCCGCAGGAGGAGGAGACGCGCCAAGGAGAGCACGCGAGGAGGCGACCAUGAGGGCCAAGGUAUCCUCCAUCCAUCUCCGCGCCUACUCCUCGCGCCUACCAUCUCGUCGAUUAGAUCCGUGUGUGGCGUAGCAACUCGUUGCCACGAGUAGUUCUCAACUCGGUUCGUCCAUGUCCCGGGGCUGUGAUUACAAAGAGAGAGGCUCGAGUGGCGCAAUUCUGGGGUGGAAUCUCUUAUGGGACGGCGGAUCUCGCCGUGCGCUCGUGGACGCCCCCCUCGUCGCGGCGGCCGGGUCUGGAUCGGUAGCUUGGGACGCGAGGUGCCGCUCUGCGCGAGGCUGAUCCUUAGACCAGUCUCAAUGCAUAGGGCCUUGUUUAGAUGCACAUGUUUCGAGCCGAGCUGUGACAAAUCGUGUCGCGCAGAGCUUGGUAUCUCUGUGUCCCGUGCAUCGUUUCCGCAUGGUCCAGCCGCUGCGGUCUCGGAGGCGUCGCGUGCUUGUGGCGCCGCCGUCUUCUAGGGUUCUUCCCUGGCCACGGUGAAGGUUUCUUAAUCGCAUACACUUGAUAUGAGCCCCGUGGAUGAUGGCCUUAAGCCUCUGCUUGUGAAAUGUUGUUAGGAGAUUGAAUUGCAUUUCUAGCAGCAUCUGAUGGUGACUGUAGUCCUUGCUCUAAAUUUUUAAAGAUUUAGAUGCUUUGUUACUUAUGAUUUGUUUGCACUGGAAUCUGCCUGGCACCGUAAAUAAGCAAUUGCACGUUGAUGCUUAUCAGUGUUUGUCAUUACUAAUGCUUAUCAGUGCAAUUGUACUGGAAUCUGCCUGGAGAGAUUUUUGUUCCGUGUUUACCUUUAAUCUGUGGAAUUGUCUACUUCCUCCACUUAACCUGCAGCACAAAAAGGUAGUAUGUUGCCAGGCACUUAAGAUAAGAAUUCUGUUUUGUAGUUAAUUGAAAAUUGUGUGAUGGACAGGAUAAGGAUAGCCCCGUUCUUUUGCAUAGUUGUUAGAUGUAUUCCUUACAGUAUGUCUUUAAUUGUCUUGUACUCCCUCAUUUCAAAACAUAAGCUGUUUUGGCUUCUCUAGGUACAUUGCUUUUGCUAUGUAUUUAGAUAUACACUAUAUCCAAGGGUAUAGUAAAAGCCAUGAAUCUAGAAAGCCAUAAAGUCUUAUAAGUUGGAAUGGAUGGAGUAUACAAGAAUGGUCCUGUUCUUCUUCAUUUUAGUUAGUUGCAUUCUUGUCUAUGCUGUGCUAUUAUUUUUCCUCUUAUCUAAUGCUCACUCAACUAAUGCAUUCUUAUCUGUCAAUCUUCAGUGGAAGAAGAAGCGCAUGAGGAGGCUGAAGAGGAAGCGCCGAAAGAUGAGGCAGAGAUCUAAGUAAGCUGGUGGAGAUGGAUGGUGGACGUGAUGGCAUGCUUGAGUACAUACAUUUCUUCGGAUGCGUUUGCUCAUGGAGAGGCGUGAACCUGGUGUGCAGUCACAGUUUGCCAUCUGUCAAUUGGCUUGUCUCGGAAACCUGCACUUCAGUAGGCUAUCGUGGUUCUAGUUAUAUCCAGAGUUUUGCACUAAGACAACUCGGUCUGUUUUGUGAACCUAUUAUGAUGGAGCUUUAUUUGCUGCUAAUAUCGACCUACCUAUCUACCUACCUGUUAAGUAAUUCCUGUGUUUGUUUAUGCUGUGCUUGCCUGAUCUUUCAUUGUGUUAUUGUGGUAUCUGCUCGUUGGUGCUGGUUUAUCUGGCCUGUUUCUGUAAAUCAUCAGAGAAACAGCGUCCUGCUGUGUUGAAGAGCACACCGAUCGCUAUGCUUCACAUUGAAGCUGAUGCUCAACAUUGACUCAUAGUCUCAUACAAGCAUUGAAGCUAUUGUUCAUUCUAUGACCGACAGUUUCUCUAUAAUGGUGCAUAUGAACAUUGAAGCAGACAACAUAUUUUGCAGCUCGAACCUCUGUUGCCAAGCUGAUGCUCUACAUCGAUUUUAAUUGCAGUAACGGUUUGCUGCUGUGGCACGUCUGCGUAUCUCUGACGUUAAACGUACCGCGAGGUUGUUUUGGUCUGCGAUCCAGUGUUACCGCGAGAUGGUUUUGUUUUAUCAUCAAUUUUUUUUCUUUGUGUGUGCAAUGCCUCGGUUCGCUGUAGGCCUGAAGCUAAAAACCAAAGUCCCAUUCUGACUCUGAUACUCGUUCUGAAUUUUUUAUUUUUUAUUUUUUAAAAAUAUUUUAAAAAUCACUUAUAAAAGGAAAUGGUUUUCGUUUUUAUUUUUUAAAAGUCCCAUUGUGUUGUUUAAACAUUUGCUAGUUUUUUUUUGAGGGGAUUAAACAUCGUCUUAUCAUCUAGUUGGACUGGCCAACCAAAGGAAAUGCACAAUCUACGGUCCAUUUCAAAACCGCGAGCGUGGACUAAUCAAGCCCACGAUAGGACCUUUCGUUUAGGCCCAAGUCCAACCGAAGGCUCACUAACCAAAUGCAAUGCCCUAUUCGGCCCAAUUAAGGCCCAACGCCGUCUCGCUCAUGUCUCUCUCCACCACUACGCUCGUGGUCUCUCGAUGGGACCACCACUCCAAUGGACGGCGCGGAUCUCCCCUCCUACUCCGCCGCCACGGCCGCCGACGGCGACCGGCCUCCGGAGAGCGCGGUCGACGGAGGCGUGGAGAACGAGCGUGCCGCCGCGCCCACUCCAGAGCGGUGCGAGGCGCCGCCUCCGGAGAGCGCGGUCGACGGCGGCGUGGAGGACGAGCGUGCCGCGGCGCCCACUCCGGAGCGGUGCGAGGCGCUGGCCUCCGCGAUCGCGGGGGUGCUGGCCGGCGCGCUGCGGGAGCACGAGGAGCGGGCGGCCGCUACUGCCCGGAGCCAGGACGAGGUCGCCGCUGCCGUCGACCGCCUCAACGGAGGUAGGUGCCUCUCCCCGCUCCCGCCUUCGACUUUGUCUGCUGCUGAUGCUGUCGUGUGGUGCGCGCGUUGUGGCUUAGGGUUCUCCAGCUUCGGAUGCGGUGUAUUGUGGCGUUAAUUCAAACCGAAGAGUAGUGGGAUUUAAAUGACAUACUAGCAAUUGAGUUGUGAGCUCUGUGUUUUAUCUAUCUACUUUGCCUCUUUUCUUGAACUAUUCAGUACUCUUCCGUAAUUUCGUCAUCACGAUGGCAAUGAAAUUCAGGGACAUCCCAAAAAAUGUACUUUGCCUCUUUGAGAUUCUAACAGAAGACUAGUGGGAUUUAGAUGACAUACGAACAAAUGAGUUGUGAGCUCUGUAUUUAUUUAUCUACUUUGCCUUAAACUACUCCAGCACUCUUUCGUAAUUUCCUCACCAUGGUAAUGAAAUUCAGGGACCAAAAAUGUACUUUGCCUCUUUGGGAUUGCAACCGUGACAGGGCGAAGUUGAAAUUAUAGCUCGUUGUAACUUGCUUCUGUAGUUUAAUUUAAUUUAACUAAUGCACCAUCGUAUUUCUUGUGCGAGAUUGCAUGUUAUGUUUCUUGCUAUGUUUUCAAUAUCCUUACCCAGGGACUUGAUUGAAUCUACUUCUGCUGUUCUAAGUUGCACUUGACAUUGUUAGAGUAUAACACGACUAGGAUAGAGUUACUUGGGAUUAGGAUCCUUGUGUGCUGGCUUGCCCCAAGUCAUGUAAACUCUCUAUAUACUGUCUGAGAGGCUCAAUUUAAAUAAUCCAAAUCCACCCAUAAACAUAGUUCUUAGUUGCACCUGAAUCUACUUUUUAUUUAGUCCAAUUUCAGUCUCUUCAUUGUCUCAAGCGAGUUAACAAAUAAAUGGAUGAACUAGAAAAUUCUAGCAGUUAAACAGUAUACAAUGAUUAAAAAUAUUAAACUGAGAUUCAUGAUUCUGUCAUGGGCACAUGUGUGAGUGUCCAACUUGCCUGCAGGUGACCAGGUUUCCAAUCCGGUAAAAAAAAUUGGGCACACCAAAUAACACUUGGAGAACCCUAAGCCACUUGGAGAAGUCUCUUACAUUUUCCUUUGCUCCAAGGCUCCAUGCUUUUAUUCAAUUUUUUUUCUCACCUAAUGUGCUAUUGUCUGCGUACACAUAAUUUUGAUGGAAAGUAUGUAUGUAUGUGUAUCCAAUAACUGUAUGAAACUAAGACUGAGUUUUUGCAGAGCUAGACAGGCUAUUAGAGAAUGCACCCUCAAUGAUAAUAAUGCAACAUUCAGCAAGGAUUUCCAGUAUCCGCAAGAGGAUUUCAGCAAUGAACAUGCUACUCAAGUCCAUACAGCGACGCAUAGAUAACAUUGAUAGAAUUAUUUCUACUGGUAUGUCAAGUGGUUCUGUCUAUCAUUACUCUCUGUCUGUGGGUCAGCAGAGUGAAUCAUUAUGGACACAUUGCUUUGUGUUUGCAGAUCAUUCAUCUCCUGUACAGAAAGCCGGUAAUGAACUUGGAUCAAGGUGCCCUCCUUUUUUUUCCUACCACUUUUCAUCGUUUAUCUUUGGGUGGUCAUGAUAAAUGUGAACAAGCAACGUUAAGAGUUAUGGCUUUCAAUAUCUCGAAGCUAGUGCUGAAGAUGAAGUCUUAGUAAAUUUCUGAACAAUAGAUGCAAUUCUGUAUAACUGGAGAGGUGGGCUUUUCUUGCUUUUCAGUGUCGUGGUAUGAAAUAUUUAUACAAUAAACAACACAAUAAGUAAAUCUCUGGUUCCCCCAGCCCAAUUUGCUACUUUAUUUAUCUAGUCCUUAUUAGUUGCAUCCUUACACAGUUCCUCUUAAUUACAGGUUUUAGAAUAAUUCUGGUGGUGUCCCAUCAAUUGCAACCAUUUCUGUUUUGGUAGAGUUACCAUCAAGCAAUCACACGGGGCUGUCCAUAGAAGUGAGACGUCAUAAUUUCAAUUUUUCCCAGAGAUGUAUGAUCAAAAUAUUCCAAUCCUUUUUGUCACAUUUUGGAGUGGGAAAAGCCUUUUGUACUGGAUGGUCAAUUUCUUUUCCUGCGUUCUUUUUGUUGCAGACAAUGAAGCGUGUUUUCAGCUUCGGCGUUCACCCUUGUAUUCAAAUAUGAAAUUAUAUUCAGAAAUCAUAUUAUCAUAUUGACACUGUUGAGUGGUUUUGAUAUAUAGUACUUGUUUAAGAUGGCAACAUCUGGAAUUCACAUUGUUAUACUUUAUCAGAAAUGUUGGUAGAUGCUAGUGUGCCAUGGAUAUAAUUCGUUUGAAGGCCUUCUGGCCAGGUUUGUCACCAAAUUCCAAACCAAAUGUCAACGUUCAUAUGCAGGUAUCGGUCUACUCGAUGGAUUCGAUCAACACACUUGCAUAAACAACUUGGCAACUUUCAUUGCUCGUGCAGGAGACUCAGUCAUGUUCUGCCGACCGCUGGCAAUGCAAAUUGCCAGGUAUGUGCAGUAAGGCUGGCGUGCAGCAAAGCAAUAGAAACAAACAUAUUUCAGAAGAAAAAGCUGGCAUGCAGCAAAGCAAUAGAAACAACAACAUAUUUCAGAAGAAAAAACAUAGGUGUUAUUCCGACUGUUUCAAUGUGCCGAAAACAGGCAGGAAUUUGCUGCGUACAACUAUGACCUUUUUUUUUCGAGAACAUGCGUACAACUAUGACCUGGAACAACAAUGACCAAUUGUCGUGGGUGGUCUUCAUUGAAGAAAUGUUUCAUUUUCAGAAUCAGAAUAAAUAAAGGUACAGUGACAGCCAUGAAUCUACAAGUUACCCCAGGACACCAAGACUACAACAAAAUAAACUAAGCAAUGAACAUGGUAUGAACCUCAAAUGGAGGUUCUCCUUCAAACCUGUACAUGUGUUGACUAUCUAGGAUCUUUUCUCCGCUAAUCUUACAACAUCACUGACAAUAACCUUACUGCUGAAAUGAACACCACAGUUUGCAAUAGUAUUGUCAUAGGCGCAUGUAACCUUCUUUGUGACCUUUGAAGAGUUUCAGAUGCCUCUUGUUCUGAGAAUUGCUCCGGGUCAGUUCACGGCGUGUUCUCCAUGACGUCACAUGAGAAUAUAAUGAAGGAAAUAAGAAACAUAGCAACAGAAGUAAUAAGAUCACAACACAUAUUAGCAUGACAUUCAUGAAGCCAUCCCGGUUUUUAGGGUUCUUGUUCUGCUCGGUCCAUGGCACGCCACCAACAUUCAUCCCGAAAACUGACAAAUUUUGCAACAUAAAUCAGGUAAAUAAGAACCCUGAAAAAGAACAGAAAUUAAUUCAGGAAAGUACACGAGUGAGCACCAGGACAAUGAACUUACCUCCAGUGACAAUGGAAAGAGGAAGGAAUAUUAUGGAGAGAAAUGAAAGGUAGUACAAGCUUUUGUUUAUCUGCUCUGAUUGCCAACUAUCGAGACUAGCCUGAAGUGUGGUAACUCUAUUUGUAAUGAAUCCUAGGUUUUCUUUGAGCCUUCUGAGGCGACCUAUCAGAUCUUCAAGGGCUGCUAUAUCUCCAGUUGCGAACCAACUCUUGCUCGCACAUUUUUCUUUCACGCGGGGGAAUACUUGUUCACCGUGAGAAACAACCUACACAAACAAAAAUAGUAGCAUUGAGUCUGUGACUUCUGUUCUAUAGAUUAGGCCUUGUUUAGUUUCCUAAAAAUUUUGCAAAAUUUUUCAGAUUUCCCGUCACAUCGAAUAUUUAGACGUAUGCAUGAAGUAUUAAAUAAAAAUAAAAAUAAAAAGUAAUUACACAGUUUGGUCGGAAUUGACGAGACGAAUCUUUUGAGCCUAGUUAGUCUAUAAUUGGACAAUAUUUGUCAAAUAUAAACGAAAAUGCUACUAUUCAUAUUUUGCAAAAAUUUUUGGAAGUAAACAAGGCCUUAACUGAAUUCAUGUAACUGCACUUUUAGAACCUGAAAGCCAAAUUAUAAGCAACACAGCAUGACAACCUCAAUGUCAUAUCAGCACUCACUUCAUGCAUGUUUGCGAUUUUGACUAAAGCAGUGCAAAUUAUAAAACAUUCCAGGUUCCCAAUAUAUUUCCCAGAAACUCGAGAGAAAACUCAUACCUGAAGCAACCGCUGUAGAUCGAGAUGCAUUUUUGGGAAUCUCCUGCCAUCCAGCAAAAGUUUCCUCAGAAAGUGACCACCUGCAACAAGCACAAUCCACACAGUUCAUAAAAUAAAAAGGCUAGUCAUUGGAGAGAAAAAGGUGAAAGUUCGAAACCUUGUUUGUUGAAUCCUGGAAUGCAAUAAGCAUGGAGAGUACAUUUGCCAUAUGGUACCCCUCUAUAUUUGCACAAUGCUAAUAAACCUUUGCUGAAGCAUACAUCAUUUAACUUGGCAUAGGUCGCAUAGCAUUGUUGCAAAAUUUAUAUGGUUUGGAAGAAUGAUCAGGGUCUACUUUGGAAACUCUACUGCCAUUAUAUAGGAUCCUGAUUCAUGAAAUUACAUGAAUACAUGUAACAGAGUCAUCCUCGAAGUUACAUUCAGGACCUGCAUUCAAUUCAACCAUUCCAAAAUGUCUGGAAUUUGUCGUUCUGAUGGAAUGCAUACCAACCCCACCCUUUCAAACCUUGCAACCUUUUGUUUAUUUUAUUUAAAGAAAACCUCGUAUGCAAUCAUGAGUCAAAUCUAAUUCUAUCACAUUGAUCUGAGUUCAUGCAGCAAGAGGUCAGCAUUUUCAGCGUCACCAACCAACCAAAGAAGCGUAGGUUAGCAGCAAUCGAAUAUCUUUUAUCCAGAUGAGGAAUGAAAGGGAGCUUUACGCGAUGAUUGACCAGCAAGAAAGCAACCUCCGACCACGACCUCCGACCGCUCACCUUUGUCGAGCUGCAGCUCGAUGGCGUCGAGGUCCAUCUCGAGGCGCGUGACAAUGUCGUGGACGUGGUCUACGUGCGUGCCGAGGACGUGCACGAGGAGGUUGGACACCGUCCGCGGCACCGGGUUGUCGGUGUGCGCGCCGUCGGCGUGGUUCAUGGCCAGCAGCGACUCGAGCAGGCGCUCCUCGAUGACGACGCCGCCGUCGACGGCGCAUCCCCCGCCGUGUCCCUCGUCGGCGACGACGCCGAGCGGCACCUCGGAGAGCAGCGACGCCUGCUUGGUCCCGAACGCGAGGCGCGGGACCCCGCCGACGGACACGGUGACGACGGAGCUCUCGGUGACGCGCACGGCGAGGCGGAGCGCGCACGCGCUGCCGACGGGGCCCGGCGAGCUGACCCGGAGCAGGAGCGCGCCUCCGCUGUCCCCGGAGGAGGAGCAGCAGUGCGGGCCCGUGGCGACGAACGCGAGGAUCUCCUGCAGCGUGAGCGGCGGGCAGAGGAGCUCGAUGAGCGCCUGCGCGUGGUGGAGCGGCUUGGCCGCGGAGCGCGGGAGCUCCACGUGGUGCCACGUGAACUCCCCGGGCCUGGGACGCCGCGCCGACCCGCCGGACGCCGACGGCGCCAGGCCCAGGCCCCAGGGCGCCUCGGAGAAGCCGCCAUCGCCGUCGAACACGAACGCGUGGCGCGGCACCGCGCCCGACGGGAGCGGCUUCCCGACCGCGGGGGACGGGGACGGGGGCGGCGGGCCCCGCCUCGGACGCAGGUGGUUGGAGCCAGAGCCAGAGCCGAAGCCGGCUGCCUCCGCGCGCGGGGCGGGCUCGCCGGCGCCGGCACCGGCCGCCAUUGGCAUUAGAAUUUGCGCCCACGCCGCGCCACGUGAAGGCGUAUUAUACCACGGCAUCGCACAAGCUCCAGGGACCUCGCGGUGAAAUCGCGAAAUAUCUCUGGACCUUUCUGCAAAAACGAUCUCGGCAAGCGUUUUGCUAAGCGCUAAGCUUAACCCGGGAAGGUUAGUUUCAAAAAAACUAUAAUACUCCGUGUUAGUGCAUAGUAGUAGUAAUAAUAAUACCAUUUUUAUAUUAGUGCCAAAUACUGCUACAUGGAUAUGUUUUGCAGUAGGAUUAAUUGUAAAGAUAUAUGUUUAGUUAGGGUUGGUGUCGGUGAUUAAUAAUAAACAUUUUCUAGGAGGUGAAGGUGAUUUGAUUGAUCUGGGGGAAGAGGAUGAGGAGGGUGGGUGAUCUUUGCAUGGGUUUGACUAAAUUUGGGAAUCUCUCUGGUUGUGUGCUUGGAGGCUGGAGGUGCAUCACAUGUGCACUGCAGCUGCAAUUGUUAUUAAUUAAUUCAUUAGUAUUAGCCAAACUAGAGUUUUUUUUUUGUUUCAAUGAAAGAUGGUUAUUAUUACUCCAUUUUGGCCUUGUUCAGAUGCAUGUGAGCCCAGUCAGCUUUUCAUGAGAUAAAAAAUGAAAGAAAAUCAGAGAAAACUCUUAGCAAAGGUUUGGAACGUGCCUAUUCAUUUGGCUGAAAGUACUAUUUGCUGAUUUAUUGUGAGAAAAAAUAUUGCUGAACGACUGACAGAUUCGGCAAAUAAGCUCAAGCGAACAGGCUUAGUCCAUUGGUUUGAAUGCAUACGAGUUUUAUUUAUAGAGGCUCUAAGGGUUUGGUUUGCAUGAAAUACUAGCCAGGUCACUCUUCUUUGAGAGAAAAAAAAUACAAAACUAAUCCAACCUUUGUUUUUCCAUGGAAUAUAGUUAACUAACGGUACUACUAGUAGUGUCUUAGUAUUUGUUUUCAAGGAAAAAAAAUGAAUUACUGGGGUCCAGCCAAUGCAGUCGUCGCUUGUGAUCGAGGCUCAGCCCAUUCCUAAAACGGGCCGUGGUCUCGUAGACGAGAAUAGAGCUACCACAGCCCAGCCCAGCCCACCGUGGAAAUGGGCUCCCCUCAUCCUCGCUUUGCGUCACGCGACGUGAACCCCCCGGCGGGCGCCGGCGGCUCCUCGCCGACGUCGUCAUCAGUAACGGAAAAGAGCCCACCCGCCACUCGAACGGGCCGGCGAGGCGGCGGCGCCGGCACGUGACGAGUGACAAGGACAAGCUGAUGAAUCCAUCCCGACCGACCAUGCGCGCAUGGUCCUACAUCCUCCGAGCCGCCCGGGGGUGGUGGUGCGGGCAGCCGCGCGCACCACGAAGCACGAUCUGCGGUCCUCAGGCGCGGGCGCGCGGCGGCGUUAAUGGUCGAGCUUCAUGGCGGGGCCGAGGCCGCGCCGCCGCGGGCCAGCACGGUCCCAUUCCCAUGCGUAUGGCGUUCCAAGCUCCAUGGGGACGACGGCGCGCGCGCCAUGGCGAGGAACAUCCAUGCACUGCACGGCCUUCGAUCGGUGUAGUCCCGUCUCGGUCUCGGCCGCGCCGCCACCGCAGCGCCUCCUUGAUUCCGUGCAGUGCAUAGCAAAGCUCAUUCAGGUGCCGGCUUGGUAGGUGACGCUGACGCAGAAGCAGAAGCAGAAGCAGUCAGUCAGGCCAUCGUCGCCCAGUCCGCGGAGGUGAAUUCAGGUGAGCUUGCCUUUGCCUGCGCCCCCCCCUUAAUUGUUCUCAACCUAUCUAGUACUCGCUAACAAUGGGCGAAAUGGAUUUCGCAUGAACUGAAAACUGUGCUGGGAAUUCGGUCAUGACAUCUUCCUGUUAUCUGAACUUUCAAUCUGGUUACUGCUUACAUCCCCAUCCCUACAAAAUGGAUUUCGCAUGAACUGAAAACUGUGCUGCACAAAGGCACAAACAGCGAAAGAGGCCUGCUUUUUUCUUUUUGUUCGUUUGCCUUCUGGAUAAUCACAUCCAAAUCAGCACUUCAAUCAGUUCAGCACUGUGAAAAAAGUAAAACUGAAAACGACCGACGCAGUUUCUGCAAAGAAAAAACUCUCUAGAGAGUUUCGGCUGCAGAAUCUUCAGCUGGUCAAAUCUUAUCAUGAGGAACGCUCGAAUUAGGAGUGCCACUUUUCUGUGCCCAGUAAAAAGAAGCAGGCAGGCAUACACCCUGUGGCUGGCUAUCACUAUCCUUUCUCCACAAACACAAAGUAGCUGUCUCCAUUUUUCAACCGGAGAAUCCGAAUUUGCAAAGCGCUAGAGUGCAGAGUCGACUCAGCGUGUCUAACAUUGGUAGGGCAAGAAUAAAAAUUCCAGGACACGAUGCUUGCUUCGCUCCUUUCCAUUCCUUUUCGGCUCUCAAAGUACACAGCAGGCUAGCGCACGCACACGGCUGGCUAGCGUAUUUACAUUUUUCAGAUCUUUUGCUGCUCAACAGUUACUUGUUUACUUAUAUAUAUAUGACAUCAAGCUUCAAAACACACUUGAUUUUACAUUAGCUGCUGUUGUUGUUGUUGUUGACGAUGAUAGUAGUUAUACAUGUCCACGAAGGGUUUAGUCUAUAGGCAACCCCUGGGACGAUUUCCGGAAGGAGUUCUUGGUCAUCUUUUCCAUGAGGUGACACCAACGGCGACAUUGCUCACCUGGAACAGAUCAGAAGAAACAAAACAGUCAAGUCUGAUUGAUUGUUCAUAGUUCACUUGGUGACUUUGACAACGAGGGAAAACCAACGAACUAUGGUCAUAGUGUUUGAGAUAAGCUCACCAGUUUGCCCUUUUCAUCCAGUGUCUUAGGAUUCUCCACCAGAACCGUCUGGGGCCGAGCAUCCUGCAAGGAGCAUGAAAGUUGAGCGAAUAAAGCCUGUUUCAUUAUCGACGAACAUUUGACAUCAGUCUGAAUUUAGACGGUUUGCUUCAACCCGAUGGACCAGUGCUUUCAUCGCAGCACUAGAUGGUCCAAGGAUUUCAAGCGAAAAAUCUCUCGGUGGGACGCGUGCGGAAUGUGCUAAUCAUUGGUACUUGCCUACUUGAGGAACUGAUUCCCAUGCAAACCAUGGAGCAACCUGAACCUACCAAAGUUGUGAUUUUUAUGAAGGACAACCCCACAAUUGAUGCAACAAAAGGGUGGUUGUGCUGUGGUCAUCAACUGCUUAAUGGUCCCAUCCCAUAGGGCCAUAGAAUUACUUUGGACACCAAUAGUACUACCUCCUAAUAACUUUUGGUGUUCUAUAUAUGUGUGGAACUGUACUGACUGUGGAGACUAGGCAAAAAAAAAAGAAAGACUAACCGAUGGCGCUGGCCGUGCAGAGCCACCGGUGUGGUUGUUCUGUAGGAAGUAGUUUGUAAACGGAAUAUGAGUUGCGAUUGAUGACAUAUGCAACGACGAAGAGAAGACAAAUUCAGUUGUGCAGUACACAUACCCUGACUGGAUUAAUGUUGCGGCAUGUUGGGCACCCGACUGUCGUCGCUCCCGGUGGGUAUGCCAGAGUUGUCCGGCAUUGCCCGCAUGACAGGUGACCCAUUUGGUUUCCUGCUUCAGUUUAGGAUCAGGAAACUUGUGUCAGCUGGAGGAAGAAACUUGCAUGAGAAUGCAGUUGUAGCCUGUUUGUUGCAGGCAGACUAAAGGGAAUUGGACAUGAGGUUUCACCUGAUCUUGUGGAGUUGAGCCUACUACAGUGAGGGCAGCGUAUGUUGGUGGCGCUGCGGGAGUGCACCAGCAUGGUGAAGCAGCCGCCACAGACGAGUUCAGACAUCUCCGGUCCUAGAGGAAACAAAAGCAGAGUUUUUCGCUGAGAAAACUGGACUGAACAGGCAAUUGUAUCUUUGCUUCUUUAGACUGUAGCAUCAUCACGAUCGGACAAGGGAAAAAAGGCUUUGUGCUUUAUGCUGAUAUGUGUAUAGUAUACCUGAUGGGUUGGCGGCUGUGAAAGUGUUGCAGGUUGGGCAGCAGACGCCGGUGGCUCCCCUGCGGUACUGGAGAAGACGCUUGCAGCCGCCGCAGACCAACUGGCUAUGCAUGCCUGCAGUUGGAAAUUAUAUUGGUGCGGUUAGAAUUCCAAAUCCCAGUUCAGGUGCAAGAAGAUGCAACACUUUGAUCUGACAAUGGUAAAACAGGCUACCCUUUCUCUCUGAACUUCAAGAAAAAAAAGAAAAGAAAAGGAGGAUGAACUACACAGCAUGUAUAUUUUCUACUGCAUUUGCGACCGUGUUUUGCUAUAUGUAUUUGAAGAAAAGGAAAGGAUGGUGGCAUGAACGUGGACUGGUCACAUUUUGCGGCGGGCAAAAUUCGACAUGCACACAAGGCAGGUGCGCUAGCUGUGUGCUGUGCAUGGAUGGAUCAACCUUGCCUGAGAUCUAUAUAUGAACUUGUUCUGUAUGCAGGUUGUUGAAGGUGAGGAGGAAUUGUAAAGCACGGUACGCACGCAAUGCAUAACCUGUUUGCUAGCUAUAGGCAGGUGAGAAACUCAGAGCUGCUGCUUGCUAAACCCAAGCAUGCAAGGUAGGUAUACAUAUCAUAGACCAAGAAUGGAAGAUGUAUUACCAAGGCAAGAACACCGGCCGAGCUAGAAUGGACGGCGCCUUUGAACUGCAGCUAAUUAAUGAAGCUAGCUCUGAAGGUGUGCAGCAAGCUAGCAAAGGAGAGAGGGGGAGAUGAUAACGAUGAUGGAGAGAGGGGUUUGGGUUGUGGAGCUCCACGGUGGCAGGAGACGGGGGGCAGGGAUCAUAUUUAAGGGCGGGCGGGAGCGCGGGGGAUGGCCGGCCGGCCGGCCAGCCGAGGUGGAUUCUCUCAUCUCUGGGGCAGGGGGAAUGGGAUGGGGGGAUAGAUUAUUAUUCUCGCUGGCCUGGCCUGGCCCUGGCCAUGGAGGAAUCCCGGAAAGAAACCGACGUCGGCGCCGGGGGAGAUGAUGCUGAGUGGAUGGAUGGGCGAUGCGUGUGCGUGUGCCUGCCUGGGAUGGAUGGAUGCCUUUCGGAUAUGGCCGAAUUCCCCUGCCCCCGCCAUCUCUCAGCUGCCUAGCUAGCUAGCUCUCUUCCCCGACCUCUCCUCCUCCUCCUUGCAUAGUUCCAUCGAAUCUCCACCCCCCGUUGGCGCCAAUAAUUCCUUCCGCUUGCUCCAUGGGGCGGCUUCCCUCAAGAACAAUAACCUGCUGGAAUUGUUAAUCCUCGCUAGAAUAGAUCGGAGGGGGCGGAUUCGGUUCUGACUUGUCAAGCCGGCCGCGACAAGUGUGUGCUAGGCUAGCUUUACACCUCGGUUUGGAAUUGCGGUUUGAAUUCCGCCUAGGGCCUAGCUUUAGCUUGGCGCGCCUUCCAACUAGAGCUUCAGAGCUAGAGGAGCAAACCUUUCCGUUGGAACUGUAGCUUGGAGGCCGUACGGACACCCACUUUGUAGGCCUUGUUUAGUUCACCCUAAAAUUCAAAAACUUUUCAAAAUUCUACGUCACAUCAAAUUUUAUGAUACAUGGAGCACUAAAUAUAGACGAAAACUGUAAUUUACGAGACAAAUCUUUUGAGUCUAAUUAGGCCUUGUUUAGUUGGCAAAAAAUUGAGUUUUUGGCUACUGUAGCACUUUCGUUUUGUCCAAUCAUAGAGUAACUAGGCUCAAAAGAUUCAUCUCACAAAUUACAUGUAAACUAUGCAAUUAGUUUUUAUUUUUGUCUAUAUUUAAAGCUCCAUGCAUGCGACCAAAGAUUCGAUGUGACGGAGAAUUUUGAAAAUUUUUGCAAACUAAACAAGGCCUUAGCCUAUAGUUGGACAAUAAUUGUCAAAUAAAAACAAAAGUAUUACAGUGUUAAAAUUUAAAAACUUUUCGCAACUAAACAAGGCUUUAUUCUGCCCCCUCACUCCAUCCACGAAAAACUUUCGGUGGAUUGUACUUUGAACUAUCUUUUUCUUUUUAAUGAAAUACAUGCCACGUAUGUUCUCUAAAAAAAACUCCAUUGACAAAAAAAAUGUAAUUACGGAACCACAUCUAAUAGUCCCUCACUCCAUCCACAGAAGAAUGUAACUACGGAACUGCGCUAGUCAAACUAGUUCAUGUCUUACCAAGUUUAAAGUAAAUAAAUUUAACAUUUGUGGCUUUAAAUAUAUUUAUCAUAAUUAUAUAUUCUAUAACUAAUCAAAUGGUACUUAUUUUGUAUACUUUAGUUAAAAUUUAAAUUGUUUGAUUUAUCGAAAAAAUGAAAAUUGCAAAUUUUUGUGGACUGGGGAGUACUACCCCCACGUUCCUCUCACUAGAUAAUGUUUAAGUACUCCGUGCCAUAAAAAACACUUGUUAGGUUAAGUCCCUGUUUAGAACAUGGGGAUUUUUUUUUCUGUAUUCCUACAUUUUUCUACAAAAUCGAACUGAUUUUUUUUUGUGAAAUUCAUGUAUGAUUCUUAGAAAAUUCAUGUAUAUUCCAAACAGAUUUUAAACUUUGUAUGGUCUUCGAUGUGCAUUUGUAUUUAUUGAUUUUUUCCUAUAAUAUGUAAUCUUGAAAUCAUUUUCCUUUUGGACUAUAUAUAAUACUGCUAUUUUCUUCUGAAUUGAGGCUGUUUGGAUAAGUCCAUUUCCUAUAUCACUAUAUGUAAAUUGAGUGGACUAGAAGAAAAUUUUCAUUUGCCUCUUCAAUCCACUUGUAUUGAUCUGCAUCUAUUAGUAAUUUAGUAUUGAUAAAUCCCAUGGCUAUUUCGUUUCAAAAAAAUCCCAUGGCCAUCGAAAAUAAGUUCCCGAAUUCUCCCUUUGAUAUCAUCUACUCCCUUCGUCCUACAAAUAAACGUAUUUAUUUGACUUCUAUGAUUCAUGUUUGACCGUUUGUCUUAUUCAAAAAUUUUUAGUAAAUAUUAUUUAUUUUUUAUGACUUAUUUUAUUGUUAGAUAUAUUUUUAUAAUGAUUUAUUUAUUUUAUUAUUUGCACAAAAAAUUUAAAUAAGACAAAUGGUCAAACAUGAAUCGUAAUAGUCAAAGAAAUGUAUUUAUUUGUGUGGCGGAAUGAGUUUGUUGCGCUGUCCUUCAUGCAGAAGUGAAGGAAAGUGAAGGAAAGGAUCCUACAUUGGAUGAAGCACUUCAAGCCUGCCGUGCUGGUGUCUACAGACAUUCAAGAAAUUUAGUUCUUGUUCUAGGCUGUUUAGUGCUUCUUUUGAUUUUAUGACAAACUGGUAUUCCCAGUAUGGUAUCUGACAUUUGCUUUCUUAAAUGCUGAGGUAAAACUCUUUAUAAAAAGUAUUGAUAAAUCCUAGGAAUAAUCAAAUCCCAGAAAUAAUCAAAGAAUAAUAAGGAUUUAGGGGGUAUUUGGUUUACUCCUCGUCUCCUAAAUCUAGUCUCAUCUAGUCACUUUUACUCGAACACUAUGACUAAAUGGGACUAAAAAGUGUAUUACCUAACUACUCACCCAAGUGUUGCUAAAUAGGACUAAAGCCCACCUUUUAGCCAAGCUGUGAAUCCAAACACCCUGACUAAAAGGUCUCUUUUAGUCUCUUUCCGUCCACCAAACUAAGGGGGUAUUUGGUUAUAUAACUAAAGUUUAAUAGGUGUCAUAUCAGAUGUUACAUAUGGUGGUCUAUAGGAUAUUUGGAUACUAAUAGAAAAAUAAAUUACAGAUUCCAUCUGCAAGACGAAUUUAGUAAGCCUAAUUAAUUUAUCAUUAGCACAUGUGUACUGUAGCAAUUAGUGUCUAAUUAUGGAGGCUUUAAAAAAUAGUCUCGCAAAUUAGUCUCUAGCUAUAUUUUUAGUCUCGUAAAUUAUUUAUAUUUAAUACUUCAUGUAUGUGUCCAAAUAUCUAAUGUGAUAUGGACUAAAGUUUAGCAACAGUAACCAAACGAGGUCUAAACAUGGGCAUGACUAAACUUUAGGAGCUGGUUUGGGUGACUAAACUUGAAGUGGUGUGAACCAAACACGUUCUUACUCAUGAGCUCGCAGAGGAACUUAUUGGGCGCCUAAGUGCAUGUCGU
rnacentral:lncRNA from 1 species